GACUUUUCUACAAGGAGCUUUGUCGGCUCAACAACAAUUCCAGGCGCAACCCACUGAUAUCAUCCUUUGUAGCUCUCCAAGAACAGGCACAGCCUGGUUAAAAUCCCUCACUUUCGCCACUAUUACAAGAACCUUAUACGAUGAUUCCACCACCCCUUUGCUUUCCAAGAUGCCUCAUGAUGUUGUGCCUUUCAUGGAGUUCGAUCAUGCCCAGUUUUCCACUAAUCGACAUCUUGGAAUUCCUCUUUUAGCCACUCAUCUUCCUUAUUCUCUCUUACCCAGAUCUAUAAUUGAUUCCGGUUGUAAACUUAUUUACAUUUGCAGGGACCCCAAAGAUACAUUUGUUUCAUUGUAUCAUUUCGCUGCUAGGUACUCCAAAUCCCAAAAUACUCAACCUAUUCAACUUGAUGAAGCGUUUGAGUUGUUUUAUGAAGGUGUAAGUCCGUAUGGUCCUUAUUGGGAUCAUGUUUUGGGGUAUUGGAAAGCAAGUUUGGAACAUCCAGACAAGUUAAUGUUCUUGAAAUAUGAAGAAUUGGUUGAAGAUACUGUUUUGUAUCUUAAGAAAAUAGCAGCGUAUAUGGGUUAUCCUUUCUCGUCAGAGGAACAACAACAAUGGGUGCCUGAAAACAUUGUGAAGAUGUGCAGUUUCGAGAAUUUAAGUGGCUUGGAAGUAAAUAAAACCGGGAGACAUCGUGAAGGGCAAGGAAAUUUGGGGCUAGAAAAUAACAUUUAUUUUCGGAAAGGGAAGCCUGGAGACUGGAAGAAUUAUUUGACCACUGAAAUGGCUCAACGUUUAGACCAGCGAACAAUGCAAAAAUUGAGUGGUUCAGGUUUAAGUUUGUAAUUGAAGGUUGAUAAUCUAGGGUUUGUAAUUAUCCCUUUUAAUAAUAAUAUUUUCAAUUAAGGUUAUCUUACUUAGGAUUUGUAAUUAUCCCUUUUAGCAAUAUUAAUGGGUAUUGAUCUAUUGUAUUAUUUAUUGAAUCUUUAGUUGGAGUUCGUUAGUAGAACUUUAUCCGUUAAAUGACCAUUCCUUAAAUCUUUAGUUGGAGCUCGUUGGUAAAAUUUUAUCAAUUAAAUAAUUUAAAUAAAUAAAAUUUUUUUAAAUAGUUUAAUAAUUUAAAUAAAAUUUUUUAAAUAAUUCAAUAAUUAUUUUUCAAUUAGACCUAACCAGGGUUGGGUCUGAUAAGAGAUAAAGAUUUUCUCAUAAAAUGAUUCUAUAAAGACAAAUAAUGUGUCUUUUUAGGUGUAUUGGUGUAAUUUUGGUCAAUUUUCUUUUAGCCCCUAUAUUAUGUGUAAGUUGCAUAUUUAAUCCCUGUAGUUUAACCUAGUUCAUUUUAGUAUGUGGUUUUUGAAUUUUAAAAUUUUAGUUUUAGCUCAAAUUAUACCAGUUAAAUUUAUUAUGUUAAAUUCUAUUCGCAGUCUCAUAUUAUCUAUAAGUUGUUGAUUUAAUCUUUGUUCUUCAAUUACAUUAUUUUUGGUCUCUACAUUUCUUGAAUUUUGAAAUUUCAGUUUAAUAGUUGUUCGUGGCGGAUCGUGAGAUUAAGCUUUUUGGGGAGGCUACUUAAAAAUUCCAAAAAAAAAAUUAAGAGUUUAAUAAGAUUUUUUUUAAAAUGGGGUCUAAUUAAAUUUUUUUUAGAAAAAUAUACAAUGAGUUUAAUGAGAAGUUCUAGAAAUUUUAGGAGAGUGUAAUUGAAAUUUUUUAAAAAUAAAAUAAAACGCAUAAUGAGAUUUUUUUAAAAAAACUUAGGGACCUAAUUAAAAUUUUCAAAAAAAGUAGUUUAAUAAGAAUUAAAAAAAAUUGGGUUCUAGUUAAAUUUAUUAAAAAUUAUGUGAGACUAAUAAGAUUUUACAGAAAUUUUAAGAGAGUUUAAUUAAAAUCUUUAAAAUAGAUUAAAGGUAUAGUGAGAAUUUUCAAAAAUUUAAGCGACUUGAUUAAUUUUUUUUUUAAAAUUAGGGACUAAUGAAAUAUUUCAAAAUUUUGAGGGUGGGGCAAAGGCUCCCCACCAUUACCAUUCGUCACUAGUGGAGGUUACACUUAUUAACUAAAAUAAAAUAACUCUGGCUCUAUCUUAGAGCAUGAUAUACUCUUUCCUCUGUUGGUGUUUUUGUGUUUUGGCUUGACUGUGGGUGUGCUUUAUGUCCUUUCAUUUACCCAUAAGCCGCCGAGAGUUUAUUGCAUAUUUUUAUGUAUUUUUUGUGUGUUCCAGUUGGGGUGAGCAGUGACUUUCUUGCUUUGCUCUCUUUUUAUAAUUACUUUUUUAACUUUGAAUUAAAGCUCUCGAUAUUAGUAGAUUUGUUCAUGAAUCGGGCUACUUAGUCCGGCCUGAAAGACCGCCUAAAAUGUUGGAGGGUUUGGACAAAAAUAUAGCCCUGAAAAAUAGGCUUGGACAAAAAAAUAAGGCUCGUUUAAAAAAUGAGCCGGGUCUCGGGUAAAGUAUUUUUGGCCCGGGCCCGGCCCGAAUUCACUAAAUGACAAAAAAAUCUACUUUUUUUUUAAUGUUAUUUUCUUAUUGUUUUCUCUCUAUUUUGCUACCAUAUUACUAUUAUGUUACUAUUAUUUUGUUGUUAUUGUUUGAAUAUUGUAUAAAACUUAUUUUAUUAUUAAUUUGUUAUUAUUUUAAAGGCAUUUUGUUAAUUUUGUUAUUAUUUUAGAGGUAUUUGCUUGUUAAGUUGCAUCUAUCUUAGUACUAUUUAAGUCUACAUAAUUUUUAAAAAUUUAUUUUCAAUUUGUUAGAAAAUAUUUUUUUUGAUUUUAUUAGUAUUUUUGAUGUAUUAUAUAUAUUUAAAAAUUAUAUAAAAUAAUAUAAAAAAAUUAAUACGGGCGGGUCGGGCUUGGGCAAAAUUUUAGGCCCUUUUUUGGGCUCGGCUCGGCCUGAGCCCAAUGAAUAGCUUAAAUUUUUAGUUGAGCCCGACUCGGCCUGGCCCAUGAGCACCUCUAGGUAUUACUCUAAAAAAAAAUUUAAAUGAAAUUUCUCGAAUAAUGUCAUUUUUCGAUCAGAUCUUGUGGAUUGGGUCUGGUAAGAGGUAGGAUCAGCUUACUAAUUGACCAAUAAUUUUGUGCCAUAUCACCAUCAUUACACAAAAAUUAACAAUUUUAUCCUAAACAAAUAUUUCUCAUAAAAUGAUUCUACAAACACAAAUAACGUGUACUUUUAGGUGUAUUGGUGUAAUUUUGGUCAAUUUUCUUUUAGCCUCUAUAUUAUGUGUAAAUUGCAUAUUUAAUCCCUAUAGUUUUACCUAGUUCAUUUUUGUACGUGGUUUUUGAAUUUUAAAAUUUUAGUUUUAGCUCAAAUUAUACCAGUUAAAUACGUUGGACAAAAUACGCUAGCGAACAAAAUAUAUAAAUAUAAAUAAACAAAUAUUUUUAUAUAAAAUAAAAUAUAAAUAGAAUAAUUUAUAUUUAAAUUGUUAAAUACGAAAACGGAUAAAAAUCGUAACAAAAAGUUAAAAUCGAAAAGAAAUGUUGAGGCCUGUUUAAUAUAGUUUCUUUAAGACAAAUUCAGCAACUCCUAUGGUACUUGGAGAAACAUUGUUCGAAUGUCUCUCAGGAUAGAACAACACAAUGAUCAAAACAGUAGCACCUCUACAGCGAUCAAAGAACAAACGUUGCCUUUUUCUAUCACUGGAACGUUAGAAAAUAUGGAGAAGAAAAGAAGAAUUAAGAGAAAAUAAUCUCAGUGUGAGAGAGUGGAAAUUAAGCAAAAAAUUCUGAAGAAGUCUUAGCCUUCUAUAGGCAUUCAAAGUGGAUAAACUUUUUUGGGCUAGACAUUUCGCGUCGCCCACAUCAUGCGGGUGCACCCCAACCUCAACGGGUUUGGACUUACACCCCCCUUGCGCGUGAGGCAAGAUUUUAAGCUUAGUCAUUCAAUCACUAUUUAAGAGGGUUCUCAUAUAUAUACAUAUAUCACAUUUGGUAUUUAAUCAAUGUAGGAUUUAAGCUUUUCUUUCCAUCAACAAAUAUUUCCAAGUAGCUUACUUUGAGCAUCAAUUUCUCAUUCUUCACUCAACCAUUUGGAGCAUAUAAUAUACCGUUGUAAAUGUCUCAUGGAGUAGAAUAUGAAACAAUAAUUUUAUGAUUCAACUCUCCACCUUUACCUAUUGAGAAUAUGCCUCAAAGUUCCUAUAAAUUACAAUUUUUCUAACAAAAUUUGUUACGUUAUUUUCUAUUAGUAGCCUUAUAUUAUCCAUAAGUUGUUGAUUUAAUCUUCGUUCUUCAAUUACAUUAUUUUUAGCCUCUAUACUUCUUAAAAUUUGAAAUUUUAGUUUACUAGUUGUUAGUGGCGAAUCGUGGGAUUAAGUUUUUUUUUUUGGAGGCAACUUAAAAUUUUCAAAAAAAAUUAGAAGUUUAAUAAGAUUUUUUAAAAUGGGGUCUAAUUAAUUAUUUUUUAAAUAUUGUGAGUUUAAUGAGAAUUUCUAGAAAUUUUAAGAGAGUGUAAUUGAGUACUUUUAAUGCUUCUAUUUUGUUGUUCAAAUUUCCAUGUUAAAAUCCAGCUCAUUUAAAUUUUGACUUGACAACUUGAAUAGGAUUAAAAUCAUGGGCCUCAUAACUUUCCUUUCUUUUAUUUAUUUGUUUCUUUUUCUUUUAACGUUGAAUGCUCCUAUUUUUUUUAUUUUAUUUUAUUUUUUCUCUUCUACUCCUUAAUUGAAAACCCUAGCUAACAUACUCAAUAGCCAUCGAUUUCGGUGUUUAUGGUAGUCUUUCGUACCGAUUUCGACAUCAAAGAAGAGAUUUUCUCUUUCUCAUUGACUUCUACAGUUCAAAUCUCCCAGUAGCCUGCUCCAAAUCUUCUAAAAUAAUAACCAAAACUUCGAACUACUCUUUCUUCGAUCUCUAUUUUGCACUGUCGACUCAUCACCAGUCGGAGAUAUGUUGUUCCCCGUAGUUAAACACACCACCUCACUGUUCAGAUCAUUGAAUGAAGUCAUGGAGCUUUGAACCCAAACAGAGUCAUGGACUUCCACCCCUAACACCCUUUUUUUUUUUCAUUUCAGACCACUUUUUUUAAUUAUAUCAAUGCCUCCUGACACACCGACGACACCAUUAAAAAAUAUUUUUUUGUUCUCUAGUAUACCAGUAUUUUAUCGGAUAUUUUUGAAAAAAUACAUACCGAUGCCACCUAACAUAGUGGCGGUACCAAAAAAAUUUAUUAUUUUUUUAAAAACUCAUGAUUGCUUGAUGUUUUUUUAAAUAAACCGUCCAUUUUCGUAAAUAAUUUUCUCUUGACCCAAUUUCGUAACUACUUUUUUAUAUUAUUUUUGUAAAUAAACCGUUAAUUGGACACUUAAUUGUAUUAUUUUAGGCUUUUUUACCCCAAUAAUACAAAAAAAAAUUAAUAACUUAAAUGGUAUGCCCACCAAAUUAUUUACCAAAAUGGUAUGGCUUGAAUAGUAACCCCAGGUGGUGCUUGGGAAGGUGGCGACACCACCCAACUUUAUCCCUAAAAUCACGACGGCAUCAUUAGGCCAUUAUAAGGUUAUAAAAAAUAAAUAUUUUAUUGAUGGUGUCACCUUAUACGGCGGCAUCAAUAUGAAGAACAAUUGGGUAAAAUACGGGGAAUAUACGUGUUUUAAAAAAUUGUUUUUAAUGAGUGGAGGGGGAAAGUCGGGCAACACCAUUGUUUGUACAAAAAAUAGUAACUCGGGACUGAGAAGCAUGAAAAAUGAAAGUCAAAAAGGGAGGUUUUAGGCCUAAGAAAGAAUAAAAAGGGGUGACCCCGUGAUUCCGUGAUUGUCUGGUCAUGUUCACCAUUGUUUCUAUUUGCUUCUCAAGUGAAUGUCAGCCAUGGAUUUAACUUUCGAACUUUUCUGAUUACAGUCUUUACAAUAACAUACAUCAUCCAAGCAAAUUGGCUGUGGGAGCUGACUUCCAUUGUUUCAAACAUAAAAUCGAGCCCAAGUGAGAAGACCCUGUCUGUGCUAACGGAGGCAAGUGGACUGUAAAUUUCCAGGUUGUUGAAAUUAUUAAGGCAUGUUUUAGUUCAAAAUUCUAAUCAAUAAUAGUUUAUCAUGAUGAUUUUAGAAAAAUUAAUCUUUUGGGGCUCCGAUUUUGAUUAGAUUUAAUUGCUGGUUUUCCUUUUGUAAAAAAUUUUGGAUCAUUUUACUUACUUUACAUUUGCCAUCUAGUUUACUGCCUUAUGUUUUCUGUUAUAAGCUGGCAUCCAGUUUGCCAUGUUUUCUUAUUAAAUUAUUUUGGUCCUUCACAAAUCAAAGACAAUAUAGCAGCCAUACACUAAGUAAAUAUAAUGUUGAGUAAAAUAGAACCAAAUUCAUAAAUUGAAGUGGGAUUUGGAUUAAAUUUUAUUUUUUAAUUAAAAAAUUAGAAAUUAAUGAUGAUACGUUAGAUUAAAUAACAAACUUAUCUUUUUGUAAAAAUUUACUAAAGGAAUCUAAAUAUAAUGUUUUCACGUGUCCUGCCAUCACCAUUUCCGUUAAUUACAGCAUCAACUAUUGCAUAGGAUUCUAAGGACCCAAAUAUAAUAAAUAAUUAAAUUACAUAAUUUUGAGAACACACAAAAUGCCAAUAAUGUUACAUAAUUAAAUUACAAACUUACAUAAUUUACAUAAUUUACAUAACAUACAUAACUUAACAACUUACAUAAUUCACAUAACUUAUAUAAUUUACAUAACUCACAUAACAUACAUAACUUAACAACUUAUAUAACUCACAUAACUUACAUAAUUUACAUAACUCACAUAACAUACAUAACUUAACAACUUACAUAACUUACAUAACUUACAUAAUUUACAUAAGUCACAUAACAUACAUAACAACUCACAUAACUUACAUAACUUAACUAAUACAUGUAGUUUAAUCUAAUAAUUUCCUUAAAAGCAUAUAGCUUAAAGUUCAAAUUUCAUAACUUACAUAAUCUACAUAACUUACAUAAAACAUAAAUAUAUAUCAUAUCAAAACCUACAUAAUAAACAACUUACCUGUGUAAUUUAUUGUCAACUUUAGACUUCAACAACUACGAAAUGGAUAGGACUUGGAUGAAUUUGUCAAGGGCAAGCAACAGCUAUCGAAAUAGAGUACAAACUUUUCCAAAUUUUGCAUUUCAAAAUGCAAGCAGAGAAUAUGAUUCUUUGCCCGUGUAAGAAGUGUGGCAAUAUCAAUUGGAAUUAAAAACGAUCAAUUUGGUUUUACAAUGGUGAAUUUCUCUCGAUUGAUUCACACUGGAGAACAAUUGAUAGACGAGCCAUAUAUGUUUUCUUCUCAAGUGAAACAAGUUUUUUACUCGAAAGAUCCAACUGAUGAGGGUUGGUACGCUGUACCCCGAAACACCUGUAGAGACUUGUUUGACAUGGGCAAUGAAAAUAGAGAUGACAUCGUCAAAAGAUCAGAAACUUUACCUUUUUCAGAACAAAACUUAAAUGAAAAUAUCUCUAGUACUAGUACACAAUUUCAAUGGGUUCGUCAGGAUGUGGAGGAAGAUAUUUACGAAUUAUGAUGUAAGAUUUUACGAUUUUUUAUUUAUAUGUAAUAUUAUAAUUUUAAUCUUGGUCAUGUUAUAUAAUUUAACUAUUUUAUAUGUACUAUUAUUGUUGUUAUUUGUUACUAAAAUUUUAACUAUUUUAUGUGUGUUGUAGGAAAAAUGCGUAGAAGAAGAUUAAAAGAUUUAAGUAUUGUCCAGAAUACUCCAAAUUUGAAAGAAGGAAAUAGUGAACAGCAGACAGUUAUUGGAUCUUCGAAUGUGCCGGAGACACUUGAUGAGCCUGCAGAAUUUCAAAGUAAUGUUAAGUUUAUUUUACAUGAGUGUUGACUUUUAUUAUUGAUUUAUUUUUCAAUUUUAAUAUAAUAAUAUAUCAUUUUUCAGCUGAAAGUGGUGGGACGCGCAGAGGUCGAGGACGUACGCUACUUAAAGAUUUAUACGACUUAAAUCCUGUAGAGCGUGUCAAAGUAAGUAGAAACAGUCAUGGUCAGCCUGUUGGAUCUGAAGCUCGACUUUUAGCAGGCUAUUUGGGCAUUGUAGCACGAAAUACCAAUAUGUUGCCCAUCAACUAUGAAUCAUGGCAUAACAUGCUUGAUAGCAACAAAAAUCAAGCUCUCGAUAAUAUUAAGGUAACAAAACGUGAAUGUAAUUUAUAUUACUUUGGUUUAAGUUUCAUUUAUAUUUACUUUCUAAACUUGUGUUUUUUUAGGAGAGAUUUGCUUUAGAGGUCUCGAAUGACUAUAUCAAGUAGGCAUUGGGUAAAAAAUGGAGAGACCAUAAAAGCACUUUGAAAAAAGAAUAUUUUAAGAAAUACAUAAGCCUCGAAGAUAAAUUACGAAAUGUCCCGCCGGGAAUGCUGAGGUACCAAUGGGAAGAUGCAGUUAGAUGCUGGAAUUCAAAGAAAGGAGAGGUAUUACGUACUUCCAAACUCUUAUAAAUUUUUUAGUUUAUAGUAUUUACUAUAUACGUAAUAAUAAUUUCAUUGUGUAGGACUGUGAGCGAGUUGGAACAAGCAGCAGGCAAAAACAAAAAUUCACGCACACGGUUGGGUCGAGAAGUUUUGCUUGUGUAGUUGAGGCCGAGGUAUUAUGAAUUUAUUAAUUCUGUCAAAUAUUAAUGACUUUCUACUAUUAAAUAAUAUCUUUACUACUAUAUUGUAGGAAGUCUCGUCUGGUCAAAAAGUUGGACGCCUUCAGCUUUUUGACAUUACGCAUAGGAAGAAAGAUGGAUCUCCAAUGACAUCCGAAGCUGGAGAAAUUAUGGUAUAUUUACUUAAUAAAAUUUGAUUAAAUAUUAAUAUUUAUAAUUUUUAAUUAUAAUGAUUUAAUUCGUCAUUAGUAGUUUUAAAUAAUGUUAAGUUAUGUUAUGUUGCAUUCCUUUUUAUUAUAUAUUUCGUUUCUAACUCUUUGAUUAAUUUAUUAGAAUAAACAAAAUGAGAAGAAGGUGGAGUAUGAAGCGAUUGCUUUGACUGAUAGUUUUGUUAAUCUUGAGGACAUAGAUAACAUAAUUAUUACUGAAGUUUUGGGUCUUGAAAGGUAUGGUCGGGUUCGAUUUCGAGGAUCUGGUGUUACCCUGAUCCAAUAUUUUGGAUUCAGCUCCCAGCAAUACAUGCCUUCUGGGAGUCAAGCUCAAGCUAAAGUUCAGAGGUUAAGAGACCAGAUAGCUCAGAUGCAAGCGAGCACAGUUGAACAAAUUGCUAAGGUUCAAAGAAAAUAUGAAGAACUCCAACAACCUAUAGCGAAUGCAGCAACGAGAAAGGCAGCGGCGACAGCGAGGGAGGCAGAGGCAGCAACGAUGGCAACAGAGCAGAGCAGAAAGUACGAUGAGCUCCAGCUACAGCUUCAGCAUACGAUGAAGAUGUUCCAGCAGUCGCAAAAGCCGCCAUCUUAGACCUUUGUUUUCUCGUUGUAAGAAUAUUUUUAACAUUGUCACAUUUAACAUUAUUGUAAGAAUAUUUGAGUUAUACUUCAUUUAUUAAUUUACACUUUAUUUAUUAAUUUACAUCAUAUAUAUUUCGUUGAAUUUGAGGGAUCAUUUAAAUUUAAUGUUUUUGGCUAGAUUUUUAUGCUACAUUUGCUGUUUUUGGUUGGAUUUAAUGCAGGAAGGGUUAGAUAUUGGUGAAAAAGGUCACCUGCAAAUUUGUAAAAAUUAACGGAAUUUGUAGAAAAAGCACCGCUAAAGGUCAUAACUUUUAACGGCGUUUGUGGAUAAAGCGCCGUUAAAAGUCGUGAUCUUUAUCGGCGUUUGUGGAUAAAACGCCGCUAAAAGUUUUGUGGAUAAAGCGUCGCUAAAAGUUGUGAUCUUUAGCAGCGUUUUCAGAAAAAGCGCCGCUAAAAAUCAUGAUGUUUAACAGCGUUUUCCUGGCCACAAAUUUUAGUGGCAUAGUCUUUAGCGGCAUUUUUUGCGGCGCUUAAAAAUGCUGCUAAAGGCCUAAAAAUGCAGCUAAAAAUUUGUUUUGCUGUAGUGUGUCCCUAUUUUUUUAUUCCCCUUAACCCACUAUAUAUAACAUGGUAAGCUAUCGAGUUUAUAAAACAGACAUUUUAAAUCACUUGUUUAUUUUUUAUUGAAAAAAACUUAGUCUAUUUCUGAAAAACUUAAGAGUUAAAAGAAAACCAUUUAAAUUAGCAAACUUAUGUACAUAAGUUUACCUUGUUAGAAAAACGGUUUGAAAAAUGGAAUGAAAAAUAAAUUUAGGGAAAAACCAAUGCUUUAAAAGUUUUCCAAAACAUAAGUUUGGUUGUGAUAUCUAAAGUAAUAAAUACUUAAUCAAAAUUGUACAUCUUCGAUUCGUUUAGGAUGAGCGCUACCAAGUAAUCUUCUCUGCUAUCCUCAAGCUCAUGUCUGUCGAGUGUGGGCUCGCUUCAAACAAAAAGAAAUUCCCAAAAAUUACCAGUGUGGUAAUUUCGUAAUUUCUCUAAACUUUUGGGUGAAGUUGUAAAUCAAAAAAAUAUCUCUAGAAAUUUUAUAGAAUAAUCUCCUCGGAGAAUUUUCUCUCUAAAACUUUUCUCUUGAAUUCAAGUGUGUCAAAUUGUAACGCCCCAAAAAAUUUGAGUGUCUGGUUGUUGGAUUCUAUCGUAAUUAAAUUUUUAUCUCUAUGACUAUGUGCUCAAUUAAUGCAUUUGAGGUCAAUAGUUCAAGUCAUGUUUUAGGAGUUUUGCUAUUUUAAUUUAAACUAACCUCUAUUCCUGAGCUAUUGACUUAAAUUUAAUUUUGUGCGAAUUUAUGUUAAGAAUGAGCUUGUUUGUUCAAUGAUUAAACUUUUAUGUAUCCUUUGGUCUGGUGUUUGAGUCUCGGUAUAAGUGUUAGAGAAUAUUUUUUGCUAAAUAUCGGAAUUUGGAUUGGUGGUUAAAUUCAAAUAAUGCUAUACUUUUCCUCUAUUUCCCAUUUCCUUUCCUUUUGUUUUUCUUCUUUUUUUUUGUUUGUUUCUUUUCCUUUGAUUUCUUUUUAAAAUUUGAAACUUAUUUAAGAUUUGAAAUGAUAAAACAUCAGCGACAAACUUACAGCAUACAAGAUAGCAAAAAGCUCAAAUUGUGUUAGACUCCAGUCUGUUGAUUCAUUCGUCAUAAGCAAUGUUGUUGCUACCAUCAAUUCAAAACCAAAACGAUAGGAUAACACGGUGACAGAUCCCAAAACAAUAGGAUAACAAUUGGUGCCGCCUUUCCCACGGGCACUACCACCCAAACCCGUAUUUAACCCAUGUAAUCAUAUGGGAAAAAUAUUUUGGUGUCGCCUAUCAACAAGGCUGCACCAUUUAAAAAUUGUUUUUUUUUUAACUGUCAAUUGUUUAUGUCAAAAUUUAGGGGUGGUGCCACCUAUGCAUCACCCUCCACCACCCCAAACACCUCAUUUUCAUAAUUAAUUGGGGUGGUGUACCACUUUAGAUAUUUUUAUAUUAUAUAUGUAAAAAAAAAAAACUCGUCUAUCUCACUCCUUCCACCCCACCUGCCACAUUACAACUCCCCAUAAAUUUAUUUUGUAUUAAAUGACCGUAUAUGAUAUUUUUUUAUUAGAUUUUUUAUAAUUCGAGUGCCGUCUCUCUCACAUCCUCCACACUUAAAAAAUUCCUUUUACCCCAUAUAAUUUUGUAAUGAUGUUUCGAUGAUUAAGUCAAGAAAAAAAGUGGUGCCGCCUCCUCAAUGCCCUCCACACCCAUCACUUUUGCAAACAUAUCAUUUUGAUAAAUAAUAAUAUUGGCAUACCAUUAUGGUAUUUAAUUAUUUAUUUUAUAUUACCCAAGUAAAAAUGCCACAAUAUUGUUUUUUUUUUUUUAAGAAAAUGGCUCGAAAGCCACAACCUCAACUAACAAGAAUCAGUAAUUACAAUAUUGUGGAUAUCACUCAGAUAAUCCCAUUCAAAUGACAUAUUGCAAUUCUGAGCUAGAACUAUCCUACUAAGAUAAUAUGCGCCCUUAUUUCUAGACUGUCCGGCCCAUUUAACUACAUAAGUAAUUUAAUGAUUUUACCUUUUAAGUUAAUGGGUAAACUUUUAUUAAAACAAUGUAGUUUUAUAUUUUAACUCGAUAGUUUUUUUUUUAACUUUAACAAAGAUAAACAUUUAUCAAAAUAACGUAGUAACUCGAAUUAUGUAAUUUAUAUUUGAGUUAAACCGAAAAAUAUAAUUUUUUAUUCGAGUUGAUCAGAAUAACUCAAAUUAUUUAAUUCAAAAUUUAAAUCUUUUAUUAAAUUUUUUUAAUCAAAUCAAAUUUUACUCACUCUUAUAUAAUAAUAUAAAAAAAAUUUAAAAUUAAAUUCCUAUAUUCGCAAGGCCUUCAACUGAAGUUGGGCAGUACUAUCUGAGUCGAAAAUGAUAUUGCAUCGAGUGUACAAUUGAAUGGAUGUGUCGACCAGCUAUGCCCGGUCUUCAAGUCCCAACAAAUGCGUGUUAAGUAGGGAGAAUCAAUGGAGAAGAAUUCGGAAGCGUUCACACUGCCCAAUUUCUUUUUUGUUGAUUGGGCAAAUUGAGAUAAUGAUAUUUUUCUUUUUCUUUAUUACUUAUUUAAUUAUAUAUUAAAAAAUAUCAUUCCAUCCUACUGCCUCCUUAUAAAAGAAAGAGAAGAGUGGCAGCCUAUUUACAAAGCCAUCCUUGUAUAAUAUAGUAUUUUCACUCAUUGGCCUAUCCCUCAUGGAAUCCCAUAUUGAGAAACAAAAUGGAGAUGUGCUUCAAAAAUCUUUCAAAGAGCUGAUAUCUACUCUCCCUAAAGGGAAUUGUUGGGGUUUUCCUAUAGAUCUAUAUCAAUAUCAAGGUUUUUGGUUCGGCCCGGCUUUUCUACAAGGAGCAUUGUCAGCUCAACAACAAUUCCAGGCGCAACCCACUGAUAUCAUCCUUUGUAGCUCUCAAAGAACAGGCACAGCCUUGUUAAAAUCCCUCACUUUCGCCACUAUUACAAGAACCUCAUACGAUGAUUCCACCACCACUUUGCUUUCCAAGGGGCAUCAUGAUGUUGUGCCUUUCAUGGAGUUUGAUCAUGCCCAGUUUUCCACUAAUCGACAUCUUGGAAUUCCUCUUUUAGCCACUCAUCUUCCUUAUUCUUUCUUACCCAAAUCUAUAAUUGAUUCUGGUUGUAAACUUAUUUACAUUUGCAGGGACCCCAAAGAUACAUUUGUUUCAUUGUAUCAUUUCAUUGCAGGGCACUGAAAAUCCCAAAAAACUCAACCCAUUCAACUUGAUUAAGCAUUCGAAUUGUUUUAUGAAGGUGUAAGUCUUGAAGGUCGAUAAUCUAUUCAUCAUCCAUUGUUCACUUAAACAUCAUCAGAGUUCGUAAUUAUCUCUUUUAAUAAUAUCACUUUCAAAUAAGGUCAUUUUGGUCGGGAUUUGUAAUUAUCCCGUUUAAUAAUAUUGAUGGGUAUUAAAUCAUUGUACUAUUCCUUUAAUCUUUAGUUGAAGCUCGUUGGUUGAACUUUAACAAUUUUUAAAUAAUUUAAUGAUUUAAAUGAAAAUUUUCGAAUAACGGUCAGAUUUAACAUGUUGAUAAUAAAUAGGGGCCCACUUGUGGGUUGGGUUGGUAAGAGAUAGGAUAAACUUACUAAUUGACCAAUAAUUUUGUGCCAUGUCACCACCAUUACACAAAAAUUAACAAUUUUAUCCUAAACAAAUAUUUCUCAUAAAAUGAUUCUACAAACACAAAUAAUGUGUCUUUUUAGGUGUAUUGGUGUAAUUUUGGUCAAUUUUAUUUUAGCCCCUAUAUUAUGUGUAAAUUGCAUAUUUAAUCCCUAAAGUUUAACCUAGUUCAUUUUUAUAUGUGCUUUUUGAAUUUUGAAAUUUUAAUAUUAACUCAAAUUAUAUCAGUUAAAUUUAUUAGUAGUCUCAUAUUAUCCAUAAGUUGUUGAUUUAAUCUUUGUUCUUCAGUUACCUUAUUUUUAGUCUCUAUACUUCUUGAAUUUUGAAAUUUCAAUUUAGUAGCUGUUAGUGACGGAUCGUGGGGUCUUCAAAAAUUAUGUGAGACUAAUGAGAUUUUACGGAACUUUUCUGAGAAUUUAAUUGAAAUCUUGAAAAAAAAAAAGAGAAGAGAGAGACAAUUUUUCAAAAAUUUAGGAGACUUAAUUAAUUCUUUUUUAAAAAGAUGGUGAUUAAUGAAAAUUUUCAAAAAUUUGAGAGUGGGGCAAUGGCCAAGGCUCCCCUCGACCACUAUUAAUAUUCAUCGUUGGUGGCCGUUACAUCUAUUAACUAAAACAAAAUAGUUUUCUUUGUUAAUAUUAUUUGAAAUUAGCAAAAUAAUGUGACAUUGCACAUGGAAUUAUAUGUCUACGAUAUAAGCUUUGAAAAUAACAUGAUUUAACGACUACCAUUUAUGUCAAAAUUGAAAUUUUAAAAUUUAAAAUAUAUAAAAUUAAAAAUAAUCAAAUUAAAGUACAUAAAUUAAAUCCACAACUUACUCAUGAUACAAAAAUUAAUAGCCAAAAUUUAACUUUUUCGAUUGAUAUCUUGAAUUAUAAUAACACAUUAAAUAUUUGUAAGAAGCUAUAGUAAUUUAAUUUGCAAUGAUAUGAUAAAACUUGAUUAGCUAUAUACAAAAUUUAAUAAAUAAAUAUGCAUUAUAAAAUGUUAAAAAUAAUGUAAGAAAAACGUUUUUAUUUACUUAAAUAUUAUAAUUUUUUAUAUUUAUUAGAUUUUUUUUUUCUAAAAAUUAUUUUUCACAAUACGAAUAUUUCAAUACUCGUAUAGUCAAUUUAAAGUUGUGUCAAAUCACCACUGCUUAAAGGUACAAUCAAUGACAUCUCGAGGUAUUGAAUUCAAGAGUUUGAACUUUGACUAGAAAAUUUAUUUAUCCGUUGUCUUAUUAAUAAGUGGAAUUGUGGAAGUAUAUGAGGUUUUUUUUAUCGAAAUAACAUAAUAAUAAUAAUUAUUUAUUGAUAUGGGAUAAUUUAAUCAUUAUUUACAAAAACGAGGCAAAAGCAAUAGUUUGAUAAAUUGUGUCGCUUGAGCAAUGGACAAUACCACACUCAACUAGCAACAAUCAUUAGGUCAUUGGUUAGAUUUAAAAAAAAAAUUGUACUGGCUGAGCAAUCGAUGGUAUCGAUAUGUAUUGACCAGAAAAAUACAAAUAUUUUUGUACGAACGAAAACAAUAUAACUUUCUAAUGGUGUCACUGACGUCUUAGGCGUCACCAAUAUAAAUUAAUAUUUAAUUACAUUUUUUUAAUUAAUUGAAACAGAUGAAAAAAAGCUUGAAAAUCGAAAGGUAGAACUUGUGACUGACCGGUCACAUUGCUUGAAUGUCGUCUUGCUCCCCCAACCCCUACAUAAACGGUAAUAAUAAUAAAAGUCCCCACCCACAAAAAAAAGGAGUUAGGAUAAAAAAUUGAGUUUUUGUUUGGAGGUUUGAGGAAAAAAGUUAAAAGAUUAUUAAGUUAUGUUAAUUAUUUUUUGUAAUAUUAAAUAUUUUAAUUUUUUAUUUACUUAAAUAUUGUAUUUUUUUAUAUUUAUGAUAACCUUUUUUUUUUCAAAUGUUAUUUUUCAAAAGACGUUAUAUUUCAAUACUCGUAUAUUGAAUUCGAAGUUUUAUCAAAUCACCACAUAUUUAAGAAUUCAAUAUUGUAAACUACAAUUAAUAGUACCUUUCAAGAGUUUGAAUUUUGAUUAGAAAAUUUAUUUAUCAGUUGUCUUAUUAAUAAGUGGAUGUUGGCUCCCAUGAUUAUUUUAAAAAAUGAUAACUUAGAAGAGGUCAAAGCCAUGGAAGAUGGGCAUUUGGCUGAUUCAAACUCCGCCUUGGUUAGAAGGAUUCAACAUAUUUUAUAAAAUUAAGGGCAAUGGUUGUUAAGGUAUGCCUCUAAGAGGGAUAAUCAAGUUGUUGAUUGCCUUGCCAAAUUGCCCCUAGGGCACUUAGUAGUUUUAUCUUCAGAUAGAUCGAGUGGCUCCUUUACCCCUAGAAGCUUGAUGUAGGGUAUUAAUGUAAUUAAUGGGUUUUUAUUAAACCAAUUUUUUUGAAAAAAUACAAAUAUACAUUGAUAAAUAUAUUACAUUUAAAGCCCCAUAUCCAACACUAUGUAGAUAGAUAAAAGUCAUAAAAAGUGGGUAAAUAUAAUAAUAAUAAUUUUUUAAAAUAUUAACUUACUAAUAGUUUAGUGACCUUGAGUAUAAUUUACCCAAUUUUAUGAUUUUGUAUAUGAUUUUUAAUUAAAUUAUUACUAUUGGAGCUCAAUAUCUGAUUGUAAUUUUUAACUAAAAUAUGAUUGAAUACAUUAAAACACCAUCAUUACACAAGAAUUAACAAUUUUAUGGUAAACAAUUUUUUCUCAUAAAACGAUGGUUUUUUUAUUAAAAUAGUAUAAAAAAUUAAUUACAAAAAUAAGAUAGAUUGUAGAUUAAUUAUAAAAAUGGUGCAUUUUCUACAAUAAAAUAUAGAUAACAUUCUUUAUUACAGUUUUAUUUGUCUAUCAAGAUUUUAUCUAUUUUAAAAAGGUGAUUGUUAUGCCAAAACCCUUCUACUUUUCGGGUCGAACCAGAUGGCCCGACCCCUGGACAUAUCUACAUAUUUAUCCUGGCCAGCAACAUUUGUUUUUCUCUCUCCCCAAGAUUUUUCCCUUUCCCUGGCAUAUAUUUCUUUCCUUUCCCAAAAGUUUUUCCCUUUCCCCAACUCCCCAACCCAUGAACGAUUAGUCAUUUGGUGUCGCUCAUCUCUCUCCCUUUACCCCACCUACCAUGAUACAACUCCCCAUAAAUUUAUUUUGAAUUAAAUUAUCGUAUAUGAUCUUUUUUUACUGAGUUUUUGCAUAACUCGAAUAUUGGUGCCGCCUCUGUCACACCCUUCACCCUUAAAAUAUAUAUAUUUUACCCCAUAUCAUUUUAUAAUGAUGUUUCAAUGAUUAAGUCACAAAAAAAAAUGGUUCCACAUUUUCCAUGCUCUCCACCCCUAACUCUAUUGCAAACAAAUCAUUUUGGUAAAUAAUUGUAUUGGCAUACUAUUAUGGUAUUUAAUUAUUUAUUUUAUACCUAGGUAAAAAAGCCACAAUAUUAUUUAACCACAUGAACAAUAUAAUAGUUUUGACUUUUAACUUUAAAAAAGAUAAACAUUUAUCAAAACGACGUAAUAACUCAAAUUGUGCAUUUCAUAUUUGAGUUAAACUGAAAAUUUUGAUUUUUUAUUCGAGUUGAGCUGAAUAACUCAAAUAACUCGAAUUAUUUAAACCAAAAUUUAAAUUUUUUUAUCGAAUCAAAUUUUACUCAUCCUUAUAUUAUAAUAUAAAAAAAUAAACUCUUAUAUUCGCAAGGGCUUCAAAUGAAGUUGGGUAGUACUAUUUGGAGCAUAAUACCAAUUGUCGAAACCAUUUUUUGGAAACGGAGUCGAAUUUGGUUUUGAAAACGAAAAUUGAAAAUAGGGAGUCGCCACCAAUCUUUUUUACUUAGGUGUGAUCGGAUCACCUAGAAAUUUGGUCAUUUUAAUAAAAUAUUUCAAUUUACUAAAACAACGAUUUUGGUCUACGAAAUUUGAGAAAACAGGUUCGGGAUUCGGUUACGUACGAGGAAGGAUUAGCACCCUCGUAACGCCUAAAAUUGGUACCUAAUUGAUUAAUUAAUGUCUUAAUGUCGAAAUUUAAAAACUCGAAAAGAAUUAAAAAUAUGAUCCUCUCUUUUAAUGUUGAUUUUUUUACGAAGAAUUUGCUUGCGUAAAUCGAAACGGAUGUUAAAGACCUUUUUGUCCCGAAGUAAUAAAAUAUCACACCCAGUAAGUUAGGACACAAUAUUUUAAAACCUCGAGAAUAAGCUUGUCUUUUGAUUUUCAAAGUUCAUGCGUUUUAAUUUCAAAAGGUUAUUCGGUCAUUUGGGUCAAACGAAGAAAAUCGAAACCCAGCAUGUUAGGGCACGAUCUCUAGAAUCUCCAAACACGGAAUAUUGCCUUACUUUGAAAAUUUCUCUUUUUAAAUAAUUAUCAAACGUAAGUUUAAAACGACAUGGGCUUAUUUGAAAUAUAAUACAAAGACAACCGAUUAUAAUUAAACAUGGUGCGUGGGGUAAUAAUAAUGCAAUAAUAUAAAACAACUAUACGAGUUAAGUAUAUGAUAAACAAAUGAAUGUUAUGAUAAUACUAAUGGGCUAUAAUAGUCAUAGUAGCAUUAACAAACAAAUUACUAUAACGAAACAUAUAUAUGGAUAAAUAAGGAUGAAAUAAAUAAAUAAUAGAGAGAGCAGUAACGACAAAGUAACAAAUAAAUAAAUAUAAGAGCAAGGGUUUAAAAAUAUUAAUAGUAAAAAACCAAAUUAAAAAAAACAAAAUUUAAGGCGCAAUUUGUAACAAAACAUAUGUGCAAAAUAAUGACGAUGAUAAUAAUUGUAGAGGCCCAAUUUAGCCUGGGGGCCCAUAAACCAGAAACCAAAAUCAAAAAAUAAAAAUAAUAAUAGGAGCAGUCCAUAGCCUAAUAUGCUACAAGCCCAACUAGCGCAAAACUAUUAAAAACCCUAGGGGCCCAAUAGGCCCACUUCCUAAACUAGUUUCAACAAAGCUGAAAUCCUAACCCCUAUGUGCGCCGCCCCUCACGUGGUGUCAGCGCGUUCUACGCCUGAACAGACGCUCCAUCCCAUCGCUUUCGCUGUCACCUACAAACAAGCAAAGAAGAGGACAGAAAGGAAGCAAAGAGCAGUAACAAAAAGAAAAAAGAGAACAGUAGCAGGGAAUAUGUAUUCGGCUAUAUAGCCAGAGACAAAGAAAUGUAAUUUUUUACAGAAAAAAUAUUGGAGCAAUCGAAUACAAAAAAGAAGAAUCAAGGUGGUCUUUCAUCCUUUUUCAUUCCCUUCGCAAGCUUAUUUUCGAAUAUAGCACACAUAUAUACAUACAUAUAUUCAAAAGAAAAAAACGAUUUUCGUACCUUCUGUGAGUCAGGGAAGUCGGAACCGAAGGGUUCCCUUGGCUCUUUCCAAUUUUCUAGAGGUAUUUUUGUAGAUCUAGGGCGAGGGGAGCAAAAAGGGUUAAAAAAGGGUCGAUUUUAUACUUUUGGCUGCCGUAUACGGCGAUCGCCGGCGACAGAUGGACGGUGGCCCGAUCGUCGAAAAUCGCCCAGUCCAGAGCACCAAAACCCUCCCCCUUUCCUUUCUUUUUAUUUAAAAUAGCUAAAAUGUAUUAAAAAAAUGUGACUUAUAUAGGAUGGAAAAACGCACCGUUUUGCCCAGCCUCUUUAAAACGCUGAAACGGCGUCGUUCCAUGGUCAUGACCUGAGACCUGACCCAAGACAGCCUAGGAUCCGCGUGUUUUUGGACCAAAGGUCUAUUUGCGCCCUUGGUCCUUCCGCUUUUGAGGUUGUUUUAAUGUGGUUCUUUCCUUUUUUUCAAUUUCACCACAUUUUAUUUGCUUUAUUUCAAUUUAACCCUCGAACCUUUUCACAGGUCAACACCUGAAACAGUGUCAUUUUGGGACACGGGAAUAUUUCUCAAUUAGUCCCUGCCUUUUGUACUGGCAUUUGAUUUGGCCUUAUUCAUUUUUUUAUUCUUUUAAUUCUUCCCUGGAAUUUGCACACUUUUUCGAAUUGGUCCACGUUAAAACGGUUCGUUUCGAGGUUUGGUUUAUUUGCGUUUUUAAUCACUAUUAGUUUACGCGCAUUGCAUUAUAGUCCUUAAUGAUGUUUUGUAGUUUUAUUUGCUUGUAAAUUAUCCUUCACUUUAUUUUCAUUUCAAUCGGGUCCUUUUUAAGUUUUCUUUAUUUAUUUAUUCAUUUUAAUUAAUUCUUUAUAAAUUCAUUAUUUGUUUUAAUAUAUAUUGCUGGAAUCAUUAUUAUGAUUUAUUCUUGAACAUAUAUUUAUAUUUAUAUUUACUUUUAAAUCUAUUUAUAUAUAUAAUGUAUUUCUUUUAAAAAUCUUAUUUCACUGCAUAUAUAUAUUAUUUUUUAAAUAUUCUCAUCCAUUAUUAUUUUAUAUAUGUAUUAUUUAUAUUAAGUUCUUCACUUUAUAUAUAUUAAUGGUUGAUGAAUAAGCCUUGUUUUGAAUUACGUUAUGUAAUCAUUGAUCUUAUAUUAUAUAAAUUAUUAUUCAUAUAUAUUCUUUUGUAGAUUUUUAUAAGACUGUAUUUAUAUAAUUUAUGUUAAAAUUUUUUAAUAUGUACAAAAUUUAUUUUAAAACUUUCAUAUGAGCAUACAUUUUAAUUUUUAUGUGCAUAAUUUAUAUUAUAUUUUGAUGUAUAAAUCUUAGUUUUAAAUGGUUUUGUGUAGCACUAAUUUUAAAUUUCUUUGUAUGAUACUUAUUUUGAAGUUCAUUCAUAUGUUAAACUCUAUAUUUUAUGUAUUAUUUAUUUUUAUUUUUAUUUAUUUUACGAUCUAUUGUAAAUUUUUGCAUGUAUUAUUUGUUUAUAUACAUAGAAUUUAAUUACUUUUAAAUUGUUUGUUUUACCUUGUCGAUUUCAAGUUUAUUUGUUUUAACAUUGCUUAUUACCUUUUAAAAGUUUUUUUUAAAAUAGAUUUUUAUUUAAUCAUUAUUUAGAAACGUUAUAUAGUGUAUGUAGUAAGAUUAUUAUCGUUGGGCGUGUUUUGAUUUUCAUGUCUGUAUUUCUCAAUAAUUUGUAUAAUAUGUUAUUCAUGUAUGUUUUCCAUAUUUGUUAUUUUGUUUUGCAUUUCCAUGUAUUGUAUUAUUAUUGAGGUUGCCAACUUAUUUGCCUGAAAUUAUUCAUUUCAUUUUCUUUGCUUCAAACGAAUCGAAUAAAUAUAUUUCAAGUCUGUUUUCAUAAUUGCUUUUUUUUUUAAAAAUUCGCAAAGCGAGGUAAUAUUUCGUGUUUGGUAAUUCGAGAAAUCGUACCCUAACGUGUUGGGUUUCGAUUUUCUGUUUGACCGAAUAACUAAAUAUUCUCUCAAGAUUUCGUCUAUGUUUUCUUAAAUUAAAAAUAAGGCAAUAUUUUGAAUCUAGAAAAUUUGAGAAAAUCGUACCCUAACUUACUAGGUUUCGAUUUUUCUCGUUUAACCUAAAUAACCAAAUAUCCUUUUAAAAUUUAAAUACAUGAUUUUUGAAAUUUAAAAGACAAGCUUAUUCUCGAUAAAUUAAAAUGUCGUGUCCUAAUGCGCUGGAUGUGACAUUGUAUUACCUCGGGACAAGAAGGUCUUUAGCAUCCGCUUUGAUUUAUCCGAGCAUUUUUGUAAAAUUAACAUUCAUAAAAAAGGAUCGUAUUUUAAAAUGUAUUUUGAAAUCUUUUCAACUUUCGACAUUAAGACGUUAAUUAAUCGAUUAGGUACCAAUUUUGGGCGUGACGAGGGUGCUAACCCUUCCUCGCACGUAACCGACUCCCGAACUCGUUUUCUCAACCUUCGUAGACCAAAAUCAUUUAUUUUAAUAAAUCAAAAAUGUUUUAUUAAAACGACCAAAUUUCUAGGUGAUUCGAUCACACCUAAAUAAAAAGGAUUGGUGGCGACUCCCAUGUUCAUUUUUUCAUUUUCAAAACCAAAGUCGAUCCUCGUUUUUUCAAAAAAAUGGUUUAGACAAUAAUAAUAAUAAUAAACAUAUAAUAAUAGGAAUGACAAUAAUAAUAUUAUAAGUGAAAACCUAAAUAGUUUGAUUUAUAAAAGUAUACAAAGAAUGGGUAACAAAUAAACAAAUGAUUACAUAAUAAUAAUAAUAAUAAUAAUAAUAAUAAUAAUAAUAAUAAAAUCAACCCCUUUUUAACCCUUUUGCUCCCCUCGCCCUAGAUCUAGACUAAACAAAAAAGCAAAAAACACCUUCAGAAAAUCGGAAAUAGUAAAGGAACUCUUCGGUUCCGACUUCUCCGACUCACAAAAGGUACCAAAAAUUUUAUUUCUUUUGAAUGUAUAUAUAUAUGUAUGAGUGCUAUAUUCAAAAAUAAAUUUGCAAAGGAAAUGAAAAACCGAACGAAAGACCACCUUUUUUUUUUCUUUUGAAUCUGUUUUUGUUGUUUUUUUUAUUAAUCCUCAAUCUCUGCUUCUACAACCUAUUUUUUUUGGCUUUAUAGCCGAUUUUACAAUCUUUCUUGCUGCUGUUCAUGCUACUCUAUUCUGCUAUGCUAUUGUUUCCUUUUCUUUUGUUUCUUUGCUGUCAACUUUUUACUUUUCUAUCCUUUUUUUCGCUGUUUUUUCCUUUUUUUUUUGUUUGCGUGUUGAUUUAGCCUUGGCAAGUGUCAGAGGAGCACCAGAGGCGUAUGAGGCCAGUGAUGGCAGUGGAGGCGCAUACGGGGAGGGCUGAAGUGACCUGGUGCGGCGCCUAGGGUUUUCCCUUCCCUUCUUUUGCUGAAAAAUAUUUAGUGGGCUAGGGUUGAUUUAGGUAGUGGGCUGAUGUGGUUUUAAUUUUUUUUUGAGCUAUGGACUGUUAAAACUUUGGGCCUAUUGUAAAAACUUGGACUGAUAAAUUUCAUUAAAAGCCCGGGUAAAAUUGGGCUAUUACACCAAUAAAGGCCCAUUUCCAAAAUUAUUUAUGGAAAUAGGUUGCUUCUAAAAAUAAUUAUAGGUAUAGAUUGAAAAUCCAAAAAUGCACUGACAAGGACACGUUUUUCCUUGUGUCAAGCAAAAGCACGCUGACAUGGAUGCAAUUUUUUGAAAAUUUAUGAGAACAAGUCAAUAUAAAGACCCAAAGUGGCAACACUAUUUUUUUGUGCCAUCAAUUAAUGUGGAAAUAAAACUUACAAAACAUAUCUUUACGUAGACCCAAAGUCUUAUUUCCCUUAUUUUCUUAAGCAAUGUGUAAUGUAAGAUAUGUGUUUAUAUAGAUUCAUGAAUAAGAUUGCAACUUGUUCUUACAUAAUGUGGAAUUCCUUCCUCUUUUAACUAACAACUUAAUGCUACACUAUAUUUUAUAUCUUUUUACAAAACAAAUUCUAUUUUUUUUUAUUUUGUUAAAAUUUUCUCAUAUUAUAAAAUCACCUUUUGAGGUUUUUAAUCCUUAUGCAUUUUAGGAUUGUUAGCAUAUACAAAAUGACCAUAAUAAAAAAAGAAAAAGGAAUACCAAUUGCACAUAUGAAACUUGUAUAUGCAAUAAUCUUCUAUUCAAUUUUAAAUGUUUGAAGUUAAUAUUCAUGCAAUUCUAUUUUUUAAAAAUAAUUUUCUAUUAUUUCAAUUUAGAAGUUAUACAUAAAAUAUGAUAACUAUUUUUCAUAUUUUUAUAUCUAGAUUAAAUUACAUUAGUAGUUACUUAACUAUGAUUUUUUUACUAUUGAAUUAUAAAAGCUUACAAAAUGAUCACUCAGCUAUUAGUACUACUUUUUGGUCACUCAAUUAUCUUGAAUUUUGAGGGAUGUAGCAAAAAGAACAAGAAGAAGAAGAAGAAGAAGAAGAAGAAGAAGAAGACAAAUUUGAAUAAUUUAAUGAUAAUUUUGUAACUUUUUAUAAACAAAUUAUUCAAAAAAUAUAAUUAAAUGACUAUUUUAUAACUAUUUUAUAAAUAACUAUUUUAAAUAUUUUUUUAUUAUUUUACUAUACUCAUUAAUUUUUUAAUCCUACAAAGUUUUUAAAAAAGAGAUAUCAAUUUUUUAAAAUUACAAAAAAAAAUAUACAAUCUGAGUACCAAACAAUUUUGAAAUGCAACAAAAUUAAAGAUCUCAAAAGAUAAUUUUAUAAUAUAAGAAAUGUUAACAAAAUAUAAAAAAUAGAAAUUAUUUUGUAAAAAAUAUAAAAUAUAGUGUAGCCUUUAAUAUUAUGUUGUUAGUUAAAACAGGAUAGAAUCCCACAUUGCUUAGGAAUAAGCUGCAAACCUAUUCAUGGGUGUAUAGCAAAAUUUAUUUUGUAAGUUUUAUUUUUCACAUUAAUUAGUGACAUCAAAAAAUUUAAAAAAAUAAUAUUUUCAUUUUCGAUUUUUAUAAAGGCUUAUUCUCAUAAUUUUUAAAAAAAACUUAGUCUAUCUUGAUAAUACUUUAAAAAAUAAUCUUUAUUGAGAAUUUAGUUUGAAACAUAUUCAUCAGCGUGUUUUUGAAUUUUCGAUUCAUAUCUAUAAUUAUUUUUUGGAGUGGUCUAUUUCCCUAAAUAAUUUUGAAAGGUGAGGCAUCGGGUGUGCACUUGAAUGGAUGGGUCGACCAGCUCUGCCCUGUCUUCAAGUCCUUACGAAUGCGUGUUAAGUAGGGAGAAUCAAUGGAGAAUGAGACAGCGUGCAAACUGCGCAGUUUCAUUUUUGUUGAUUGGGGAAACAGAGAUAAUGAUGUUUUUCUUUUUCUUUUUCUUUAUAUUUUCAUUUUAGUAUUUCUUUAUAUAUUAAAAAAUAUCAUUCCAUCCACUGCCUCCUUAUAAAAGAAAAAGAACAGUGGCAGCCUAUUUACAAAGCCAUCGUUGUAGAAUAUAGUAUUUGCACUCGUUAGCCUGUCCCUUAUGGAAUCCCAUAUUGAGAAACAAGAUGGAGAUGUGCUUCAAAAAUCUUUCAAAGAUAUGAUAUCUACUCUCCCUAAAGGGAAUAGUUGGGGUUUUCUUGGAGAUGUAUAUCAAUAUCAAGGUUUUUGGUUCUCCCCGCCAUUUCUACAAGGAGCAUUGUUGGCUCAACAACAGUUCCAGGCUCAACCCACUGAUAUCAUCCUUUGUAGCUCUCCAAGAACAGGCGCAGCUUGGUUAAAAUCCCUCACUUUCUCCACUAUUACAAGAACCACAUACGAUGAUUCCACCACCCCUUUGCUUUCCAAGAUGCCUCAUGAUGUUGUGCCUUACAUGGAGUUCGAUCAUAUCUAGUUUUCCACUAAUCGACAUCUUGGAAUUCCUCUUUUAGCCACUCAUCUUCCUUAUUCUUUCUUGCCCAGAUCUAUAAUUGAUUCUGGUUGUAAACUUAUUUACAUUUGCAGGGACCCCAAAGAUACAUUUGUUUCAUUGUAUCAUAUCGUUGCUAGGUACAACAAAUCCCAAAAUACUCAACCCAGUCAACUUGAUGAAGCGCGUUUCAAGAAGGCGUCAGUCAGUUUGGGCCUUAUUAGGACCAUGUUUUAAGGUACUGGAAAGCAAGUUUGGAACGUCCAGACAAGUUAAUGUUCUUGAAAUACGAAGAUUUGGCUGAAGAUACUGUUUUGUAUCUUAAGAAAAUAGCAGAGUUUAUGGGUUAUCCUUUCUCAUCAGAGGAACAACAACAAAAUGUGCCUGAAAACAUUGUGAAGAUGUGCAGUUUCGACAAUUUAAGUGGCUUGGAAGUAAAUAAAACCGGGAGACAUCGUGAAGGGUACGAAAAUUUGAGGAUAGAAAAUAACAUUUUCUUUCGGAAAGGGAAGCCUGGAGACUGGAAGAAUUAUUUGACCACUGAAAUGGCUCAACGUUUAGACCAACGAACAAUGCAAAAAUGGAGCAGUUCAGGUUUAAGUCUGUAAUUGAAGGUCGAUAAUCUAUUUAUCAUCCAUUGUUCACCUAAACUGGAUCAUAGUUCGUAAUUAUAUCUUUCAAUAAUAUUAUCUUCAAAUAAGGUUAUCUUGGUCGGGAUUUGUAAUUAUCCCAUUUAAUAUUAUUGAUGGGUAUUGAUCUAUUGUACUAUUCCUUGAAUCUUUAGUUGGAGCUCAUUGGUAGAAUUUUAUCAGUUAAAUGACUUAAAUAAAUAAAAGUUUUUAAAUAAUUUAAUGAUUUAAAUGAAAAUUUUUAAAUAACUCAAUGAAUAUUUUUCAAAAAUUAAAAAAAAAAGGCAUAAUGGGAUUUUUAAAAAAAAAAACUUAGGGGAACUAAUUAAAAUUAAAAAAAACUAAUUUAGUAAGAAUUUUUUAAAAAAAUUAGGGUCUAGUCAAUAUUUUUAAAAAUUAUGAUUUUACGAAACUUUUAAGAGAAUUUAAUUAAAAUGUUUUAAAAAAUAAAAGACAAGAAUUUCUAAAAAUUUAGGAGAUUUAAUUAAUUCUUUUUAAAAGAGUUAGUGGUUAAUGAAAAUUUUCAAAAAUUCGAGAGUAGGGCAAUGUCCCAAGGCUCCCCUCAACCACCAUUAACAUUCGCUAUUGGUGGCAGUUACAUCUAUUAACUAGAACAAAAUAGUUUUUUUUUUGUUAGUAUUAUUUAAAAUUAGUAAAUUAAUGUGACAUUGCACAUAGAAUUAUAUGUCUAUGGCAGAAGCUUUGGAAAUAACAAGAUUUAACUUAACGAUUUAAUAAUUACUAUUUUGGUCAAAAUUGAAAUUUCAAAAUUCGAAACAUAUAAAAUUAAAAAUAAUCAAAUUAGAACACAUAAAUUAAAUCCACAAUUUACUUACGAUACAAAAAUUAAUAGCUAAAAUUAACUUUUUUUUCAAUUGAUAUCUUGAAUAUCUAUUUAUAAUAACACAUUAAAUAUUUUUAAGAAGCCAUAGUAAUUUAAUUUACAAUGAUCUGUUAAGACUUGAUUAGCUAUAUACAAAAUUUCAUAAAUAAAUAUGCAUUAUAAAAUUUUAAAAAUAAUGUAAAAAAAAACUUUUUAUCUACUUAAAUAUUGUAAAUUUUUAUAUUUAUUAUAACGCUUUUUUUUCCAAAAAUUAUUUUUUACAAUACAAAUAUUUCAAUACUCGUAUAUUCAAUUCAAAGUUUUGUCAAAUCACCACUGCUUAAAAGUACAGUCAAUAAUAUCUCGAGGUAUUGAAUUUUUUACUAGAAAAUUUAUUUCUCCAUUGUCUUAUUAAUAAGUGGAAUUGUGGAAGUAUGUGAGGUUUUUUUAUUUAAAUAAUAUAAAAAAUAAUUAUUUAAUGAUAUUGGAUAAUUUAAUCAUUAUUUACAAAAUGAGGCAAAAGUAACAGUUGACAAUCGGUGUCACUUAGCAAUUGACAAUACCACGCUCACCUAGCAACAAUCAUUAGGUCAUUGCUUAGAUUUUCUAAAAAUUAAUUUUUUUCGUGCUGCCUGAGCAACUGGCGGUAUUAGUAUGUAUUAGCCAAAAAAAUACAAAUAUUUUUGUACGAACGAAAAAAAUAUAACUUUUUAAUACUGUCACUGACGUGUCAUACGUCACCAGUAUAAAUUAAUAUUUAAUUAUAUUUUUUAAAUUAAUUGAAACAAAUGAAAAAAAGCUUGAAAAUUGAAAAUUAGGUAGAAUCUGUGACUAACCGGUCACCUCGGUGCAAGUCGUCAGGCCGAUGUCCCUAUCCUUCCCCAACCCCUACAUAAACGGUAAAAAAAAAGUUCCCACUCACAGAAAAUUGAGUGUUUGUUUGGAGGUUUGAGGAAAAAAAACUAAAGAUUAUUAAGCUAUGUUAAUUACUUUUUGUAAUAUUAAUAUUUUAUUUUUUUAUUUAAUUAAAUAUUAAGUGUUUUGUAAUUUUUUAUUAAGAUUAUUUUUUUUCCAAAAGUUAUUUUUCAAUAGACAAUUAUAUUUCAAUACUCGUAUAUUGAAUUCAAAGUUUUAUCAAAUCACCACAUAUUUAAGAGCACAAUAUUGUAAACUACAAUUAAUAGUACCUUUCAAGAGUUUGAAUUUUGAUUAGAAAAUUUAUUUAUCAGUUGUCUUAUUAAUAAGUAGAUGUCAACUCCCAUAAUUAUUUUAAUAAAUGACAGCUUAGAGGUGGUCAAAGUCAUGGAAGAUGGGCAUUUGGCUAAUUCAAACUUCGCCUUGGUUAGAAGGAUUCAAAAUAUUUUACAGAAUGAAGGGCAAUGGCUGUUAAGGUGUGCCUCUAGGAAAGAUAAUCAAGUUGUUGAUUGCCUUGCCAAAUUGUCUUCUGACAAUAAGGAAUGUGUGUAGGUCUUCGCUAAGGUCCCUAGAAUCUUAGUAGUUUUAUCUUCAGAUAGAGUGAGUGGCUCCUUUACCCCUAGUAGCUUGAUGUAGGGUAUUAAUGUAAUUAAUGAAUUUUUAUUAAACCAAUAUUUUCGAAAUAAAAAUACAAGUAUACAUAGACAAAAAUAUUACAUUUAAAGCCCUAGAUUUAACACUAUGUAGAUACAAAAAAGUCAUAAAAAAUGGGUAAAAAUAAAAAGAAAUGAUUUUUUAAUAAAACCCACUUAUGCAUUAAAAUUGAAGAAGACAAGUUACACCCUUCCAUACAUGUAGCCUAUCUAUUGGCCACCUAAAUGGCUACUGGGAUUUUGCGAAACAGUUGGAAAAUUAAACAACACUAGAAAUAAAAACCACAAAAGGAAACCAACAAUCAAAACAUGAAAAUAAAACCCCCUAGAUCCCAAAUUUCUUCUCCAAAACAUUUAACCCUCAUGAGCACCAGUAGAUUGCAAGGAACCCAGGCCAAAAGAAUAUAUUCCGAUGCUAGUAGCUUGGAAAUCCUCUCAAUCGACCUUGAUUUCAUUAGACAUCCUCCUCUUAUGCUCCGGACUCAGCCAUCAAUCUCGGUCAAUUCUUCCACUCCCCCUCCUGUCCACACAACAACAAUCCUUUCUACCUCCCUAAAAACUUCCUUUAUCCAAUACAUUGUCCGAUCGUGCUUCCUACCCUCCAUUGACAUCACAUGUGUCGCCUCAUUCACUUCUCUAAGUACGAAUCUGAACUCUACAAUCCUAAAUCUACUGCUUCUCCCUUUAAUUUCUGAAAUGAUAGUACUGAUUCUUGAUUUGUCCUCCUCUCUCGAUUCCAGUGUCCAAAUGAUGGUCAAAGCAUCCCCCUCAAUGCAUACAUCUUGAAACCCUAACUCUUCCACAAAGGCGACCACCUUCAAACAUGCUCUUGCCUCCGCCAUGGUCAGGUCCACAACAUUCUCCUACGGGUAAGUGCACGAGACCAUAACCAAACCCUCCUUAUUUCGUGUUGUAAUAUCCGAAUGUGAGAUAAACCAUAAUAUAUACAUAUUUUUACCCCAUGCUUGGUGUAUUUAUGGAGGAUUUUUCUUUGGUUUCAUUGAAUUUGAUGCUCCUAAUCCUUUAAAUUCAUGUUUUAUACUUAAGUGAGCAUAGGAAGGCGAAAAGAGCAAGAAACGGGCCAAAAACGGACCAAAUGGGCCUAAAUCAGUGUUUCACACUGCCUAGGCACUUCCACACGGGUAAACCACACGCCUGUGUGUCAUGGCCGUGUCGACUAGAAACCAACUCAGAAUUACACACGGCUUGAGCACUUUCACACGGGCGUGGCACACGGCUGUGUCCCUGUUAAACCUAAGUCUAAUUCUAUUCGAAAAAGGCUAAUUUUGGGCUAUUUUGGGCAUUUCAAAGUCUAUUUAAACACCCUAGAAGAGGAUUAAAGGAGACACGCAGGUAGAAGGCAGGAAAUACCUAAAGAUAGCCAUCGAAAGCAGGAUCUACUUCAAGACUGAAGAUCUCCAUUCAAUUUCCUUAGAAGUUCUUUGGGUUUCUUUAUGUUUUUUUUUUGUUUUUCCAAUUUUGAGAUGUUUUCCAUUAUUAUGAACUAAACUCCAUAAAUACCUAAGGGAGAUGAAACCUAAGACGAAUCUUAUUACUAUUUGAAUUAUAUGAUAAAUACUUGUUCUUAUUCUUAAUUGUGAGUUUUAAAUCCUUGUUUUAAUAUUCCAGGAUAUUAAUUCAAGUUUUGAUGUGCUUAUUCAGUGAAGCAAAAAUCCCUAUUUAAGAGUAGAUCUCCAUAAUUAAGCGGAGUUGCAUGCAAUCCUAGAGAUAGGACGACAUAAAUCUGCCGGAUUAGAGUCAAAUCUAAUAAGGGAAUCCAUAAAUCGUGUUAAUGCGACAAUAGGGGUUUUAAUUAGAAAGAGAUUUCAAUUAAUCAAGCUAGAGUUAGUUGUUUUUAGUCUCAAGAGAGAUAUUAACAUAAAUCAAGGAUUUCUACGGAUUAAGUCAAGUGAAUAAAUCGUCUAAUUCAGAAGUAAUAAGUGAAGUCUAGGUGAAUUCUUCCUUGGGUAUUGUCUUCUUCAUCGGUUUUCUAAAAGUAUUUUACAGCUUUAAUCUCUGUCUUAAUUUUAGUUAAUUAAAUAAUUAGUCUUAGUUUCAAACCUCCCUUAAUUAUUAGGCUAGAUAAUAAAAAGAUAGUAAUUACUAAUACUCUUAGUCCUUGUGGAUACGAUAUUUCCGGUCUCACCAUAACUAUACUACUAUUCGAUAGGUGCGCUUGCCUUAGUCAAAUUUUUAGUUAGUUUAGCGACCAUCAAUGUGAUAAUCUCAACUGUUGGUGAAAAGAAUUAUCAAAAUUAAAUUUGAUAAUCUCCCCCUCUAGUGGCUCCCAACUAGUAGGCCUUGAUAUAUGCAUAGGACAAGAAAGAUCAUUUAACUACUCUAUUUCUAGCAUGUAUAAACCCGAUAACAUCUUGGAUUCGAUCCCUAACCCCAUCAUGGUAAAGGUAAAGUUUGUUACGGUUAUGGAAGAUAGCCCAAAAAGAAAUAGCAAGCAAUCUACAUACCAUUAUACUGCAUUUCAUUACCUCCUCCUUUAACCAUUGUUUCCAAUUUUGUUGCAUGUUUACUGCCGAAAGCUUCACCCUAAUUCCCUCCGUCACUUACUUUGAGAAGGCACAAUCACUAAUGUAAAGGCCCAAAUUUGCCCUGGGCCCAACAAGCCCAAAUUAGACAAAAAAAAACAAACAAAACAAAAAAACCAAUCAAAAUUACAGCCCAAAAAUUAAAACCUAUAUCAGACCCAAAACCCAAUUUACAAACCCUAACAGCCCAAGCCCACAACAUAAACAAAUUUUUCAGAAAGCAAACCCUAGCCUUUGACCUAGCUACGCAGCCGCUCCUCCCAUGUCAGCCCCCGUCCCAUCGCCCGUACCACCAACUCCUCUGCCACCCCUGCAAGGAAGAAAACACGCAACAACAGAGAGCAGUGGCUAAACGAUAGCAAAAUAGUAACCUAUAACAUGUAAAUCGGCUUUAAAAAGCCGAAUAAUGAAUGUAAAAUGGGGGAUUUUGGGAAUAAAAAAUCAAGAGAUUGUGAAUGUAAAAUCAGUGUUUUCAAACACAUAUUUGAAUACAAAAAAAAACAGCAAGCACUGAAGGAAAACAUACAUGUUUUCUCUAUUUAAAAAAAAAACAGUAUAUAUAUAUUUAUAUAUAAAUAUAGCAAAAAAAUAAAUAAAUUUACCUUUAUUCAAGCUGAUCCGAAUAAUUCAAAUAACUCAAAUAAUUUAAUUCAAAAUUUAAAUUUUUAUCAAAUUUUUUAAUUAAUUCGAAUUUUACUCAUCCCUAUAUUAUAAUAUAAAAAAAUAAACUCUUAUAUUAGCAAAGGCUUCAAAUGAAGUUGGGCAAUACUAUCUGGGGCAUAGUACCAAUAAAGGUUGAUUUCCGAAAUUAUUUAUGGAAAUGAGUUGCUUUUAAAAAUAAUUAUAGGUAUGGAUUGAAAAGUCAAAAAUGAGCUAACGAGGACACAUUUUUCCUCAUGUCAAGCAAAAGCACACUGACAUGGAUGUAUUUUUUAAAAAAAUCGACCAUAAUAAAAAAAAGAAAAAGAAGAACAAAUUGCACGUAUGAAACUUGUACAUGCAAUAAUCUUCUAUUCAAUUUUAAAUGUUUGAAGUUAAUAUUAAUGCAAUUCUAUUUUUUAAAAUAAUUUUCCAUUAUUUCAAUUUAGAAGUUAUACAUAAAAUAUAAUAAUUAUUUUUCAUAUUUUUAUAUCUAGAUUAAAUUACAUUAGUACUCACUUAACUAUGAUUUUUUUACCAUUGAAUUAUAAAAACUUACAAAAUGAUCACUCAACUAUUAGUAUUUUUUUUUGUCACCCAAUUAUCUUGAAUUUUGAGGUAUGUGGCCAAAAAAAAAAAGAAGAAGAAAAAUUUGAAUAAUUGAAUGACAGUUUCAUAAACAGAUGAUUCAAAAACACAUAAUUAAAUGACUAUUUUAUAACAUUUUAUAAUUAAGUGAUAAAAACUAUUUUCAAUAUUUUACUAUACUCAUUAGUUUUUUAAUCCUAAAAAAAAUUUAAAAAGAAAAGAUAUCAAUUUUUUAAAAUUAUAAAAAAAUAUACUAUCGGAGUACUAAACAAUUCUAAAAUGCAACAAGAUUAAACAUCUCAAAAGAUAAUUUUUAUAAUAUUAGAAAAUAUUAACAAAAUAUAAAAAAUAGAAAUUAUUAACAAUUUUUUAAAAAAAAUUACAUUGUGACACGAAAAAGGUACCUGGUGUCGGCCAUCUAUUGGCCAGCACAAAAAAAAAAAUUUACAUAUGUGGUGUUGGCCAUUACAUGGCCAUUACAUGUAAUUUUUAAAUAUAUAUAUAUAUUUAUAUAUAUGAAGGUGAGAGAAAAUAGCAAAGUGUGUGUUUUAAUUUUAUUUUUAAUAUAUAAUUACUUAUAUAACUCUAUUGAUAUUUUACUUUUGUUUAUUUGAUAUAUUAAGUAUUUGAUUAAAUUGAUGUCAUAAGUUAAUUGAGAUUUUUUUUACAAAAAUAAUAUAAAAAUAAUUAAUUAGAAAAAUAGGUUAGAGAAAAAUUAUUUACGAAAAUGUAUUGUUUUGAAUAAUCCUUGUCAGUACUACUUAACACACCGACGACACCACCCCAUUUUCCCAAUUCAUCAAACAAUUAUAAGUUUUUUUUUUAAUUGUUCCGCCAUAAUGUUAGGCAUUAUCGGUAGGUAUGUUUUGAAAAAUACCUAAGAAAAUACAAGUACACUGAGGAAUAAAUUUUUUUUUUAAUGAGUGUCGCUGAUAGCCUAACCUCACCACUUUAAUUGUAUUUUAAAAAAUUACGUCUUGGUUUGAGUACUUUUAAUGCUUUUAUUUUGUUAUUCAAAUUUCCAUGUUAAAAUCCAGCUUAUUUAAAUUUUGACAGGCAAAUUUAAUAGGAUUAAAAUUGUGGGAAUCAUAACUUUCUUCUUUUAUUUUUUUCUUUCUUUUUCUUUUCAUGUUGAAUGCUUCUAUUUUUUAUUUUAUUUUAUUUUUUUCAUUUUUCUCCUUAAUUGAAAACCCUAGUUGACAUACACGAUAGCCACCGAUUUUGGUGUUUAUUGUGGCCUUUUGUGCCAAUUUCAACACCAAAGAAGAGAUGUUCUCCUUUUCAUUAACUUCUACCGUGUAGAUCUCCCAGUCGUCGACUUUAAAUCUUCUAAAAUAAUGACCAAAGCUUCAAACUACUCUUUCUUCAAUCUCCAUUUUGCACUUUUGAAUCUUCACCAGUUGGAGAUAUAUUGUUCCCCAUAGUUAAACACACCACCUCACUAUUUAGAUCAUCGAAUGAAGUCACAAAGCUUUGAACCCAAACAGAGUCACGGGCUUCCACCACUAACACCCUAUUUUUUUGUUUUUGUUUUUCAUUUUAGACCACUUUUUUUAAAUAUAUUGAUGCCGUUUGACACAUCGAUGACACCAUUAAAAAAUAUUUUUUCAUUCUCUAGUAUACUUGCAUUUUUUCAUGUAUUUUUUCAAAAAUACAUACCGAUGCCACUUGACACAAUGACAGUACCAAAAAAAAUAUUUUUUUAAAAAGCUCAUGAUUGUUUGAUGUGUUUUUUAAAUAAAAAGCCCAUUUUCGUAAAUAAUUUUCCCUUAACCCAUUUUCGUAACUACUUUUUUAUAUUAUUUUUGUAAAUAAAACGUUAAUUGGACAUUAAUUGUAUUAUUUUAGGAUUUUUUACCCCAAUAAUACAAAAAAAUAAUUUAAUAACUUAAAUGGUAUGCCUACCAAAUUAUUUACCAAAAUGGUAUGGUUUGAAUAGUAACCUCAGGUGGUGCUUGAGAAGGUGGCGACACCACCUAACUUUAUCCCUAAAAUCAUGACACCAUCAUUAGGCCAUUAUAAGGUUAUAAAAAACAAAUAUUUUAUUGGUGGUGUAACACCCCUUACCCGUAUCAGAUGCCGGGACAGGGUACAAGGCAUUACCGGGCUUAAACACGCUUGAACAUCUUAAAUCGGGCCAUAGAGUUUCAUUCAAAUUUAAAAAUUUUUUAUUCAUAUUCAUAACGUCCCUAUCAUGGGCCUACGAGACCUUAAACAUACUUUGGAAGUGGUUCGGGACUGAACCGAAAACUUUCGAGUACUUAGAAAAUUUUUACUUAAAUUAACACCCCCGUGUGGGUAGGCUGUGUGGUCGCACACGCCUAUGUCGCUAGCCCGCGUGGAAUUUAUUCUCAUUUAGAACCUACAGGAGUUUUCACACGGCUAGGCACACACCCAUGUCUGAUGGUCGCAAAACUAACUAUAAAUUCGACUAAGGCAAGCGCACCUGUCGAACAGUAGUAUAGUUAUGGUGAGACCAGAAAUAUCGUAUCCACGAGGACUAAAAAUACUAGUAUUAACCUUCUUUUUAUUAUCUAGCCUAAGAAUAAGAGUGUUCGUUUUUAAACUAAAACUAAUUAAUUAAACUAAAAAUGCACAGAAGGUAAAUUGGGGAAAUACUUUUUGGAAAAACUGAUUGAUUUAGACAACACCUAAGGAAGUAUCUACCUAGACUUCACUUGUUAUUUAACUCUGAACUAGACGAUUUAUUCACUUGACUUGAUCCGUAGAAAUCCCUAAUUUAUAUUAUUAUCUCUCUCGAGACUAACAACGUCUAACCCUAGGUUGAUUAAUUGAAAUCUCUUUCUAAUUAAAACCCCUAGUGUUGCAUUAACUCGAUCUAUGGAUUCCCUUUUUAGGUUUGACCUUAAUUCGGCAGAUUUAUGUCACCCUAUGUCUAGGGGUGCAAUCAACUCCGCUUAAUUAUGCUAGAUCUACUCUUAGACAGGGACUUUUGCUCCUCUGAAUAAGCACAUCAAUACUUGAAUCAAUAUCCUGGAAUAUUAAAACAAGAAUUAAGAAAACAUAAUUAAGAACAAGUCAAAUAUUUAUCAUAUAAUUCAGAAAAUAAUAACAAGAUCCAUCUUAGGUUUCAUCCCCCUUAGGUAUUUAAGGGAUUUGGUUCAUAUGUGUAAAAGAAAACAUCUCCAAAGAAUAAUAAUAACAAAACAUAAAGAAAACCCAAAAACUCCUGAAGGAAAUUGAAUGGAGAUCUUCAGUCUUGAAGGAGAAUCCAGCUUCUAAGAUGGAUCAAUUGGCUUUCUUCGAGUAAUUCCUUACUUCCCACUUUGUGUGUCCUUUUUAAUCCUCCUCUAAGGUAUUUAUAUAGGCUUUCAAAUUCUUCCAAACCUUCAAAAGUGCCCUUUUCCGAAUAGAACUAGACUUGGGCUCGACAGGGACACGACCGUGUGCCACGCCCGUGUGGUGUGUUGCUUAGGCCGUGUUAGAGUCUGUUAAAUAGACACGGGCGUGUGGUCUACCCAUGUACGGAAGUCCAGGCCGUGUUGAUUUUCCAUGUUGACCCAUUUUCUCCGUUUUUGGCUUGUUUCUCGCUUCUUUUACUCUCCUAUGCUCACCUAAGUAUAAGACAUGAAAUUAAAGGAUUAGGAGCAUCAAAUUCCACAAAUCUAAUGAUAAUUCAUCCAAAAGUGUGCUAAGCAUGGGAUAAAAAUAUGUAUAAAUUAUGACUCAUCAGUGUCUAUGGCCCGUAUCCCUCACACGGCCAUGACACGCCCAUCUCUUCCACCAGUGUAACUCUCUAUUUAUGACGUCAUCACCCAAUAUGAGGCACACUAGCUCGUGUGGCGUACUUAAUUUUUCACAAAUUGGAUGCAGGGGACACACGGCCUGACUACACGCCCAUAGGGCGGACCGUGUGUCACACAUAGCCUAGACACACGCCUGUGUGUCUACCCAUAUGGUCAAAUAUAAGGCUAUUUACCAAGCUUUUUGCCACCCUGGAACAUAAUCAAACAUAAAACAAUGCCACCAACUUAUAACAAGGCAUAAACACACAUUCAAACUACCACGACAAGACAUCUAUAUGCAAAUUUAUCCAACAUUCAUCAUGCAUACAUAUCAUACCAUUUUCCACUUAAACAUGCAAGCUUGCACAUGAUUAAUUUCAUCAUAUUGAUCAAAUAUAACUUAACCAAUAUUGGCCCAUUUCCAAUGGCCAUAUACAAAAUGAAUUUAGUACCAUUACUAGCCAACAUAUUGGCUAACCAAUAUGUCAUUUAACAAAAUGACCAAGUUCCUAUAGAUGCCAUACUCAAAAUGAUCAAACUGUAUUAUACCAAAAGAAUGGCUUGAUAGUGUGAAUCGAGCUCCGACGUCCUUCGAUCCCCGAGCUAGCUUGGCGAAACUACAAGGAAAAGAAAAGAAAGGGGGUAAGCAUAAAUGCUUAGUAAGCUUGCAUGCAAUAAAUAUUAACAGAAAACUAGGAAUAACACUUACAUAAUUGGCAAGCACUCAUAGACAUGGCUUACUCAUGCUCUUCCUUACCGAUAACACAUAUUUUAUCUGGCUCAUUUGUCGUGAAUUUCUCAUUAGUACCUGUAUCACUCAUCACAUAACUUUAAUCUUUCUCAUCAUUAAAUAUUAACUGUAAUUCUUUUCCUCAUUGGAUUACUUACCGAAGGAUACUCAUAAUGUCAUUCACAUAAUAAGAUGCCAAUACCAUAUCCCGGAUAUGGUCUUACAUAGGAUCAAAUGUCGAUGCCAUGUCCCAGAGAUGGUCUUAUACGGGAUCUUAUCUCGAUGUCAAUGCCAUAUCCCAUAUAUGGUCUUAUACGAGAUCGUACGUUGAUGCUGACGCCAUGUCCCAAACAUGGUCUUACACGAGAUCGUAUAUCAAUGCCGACGCCAUGUCCCAGACAUGGUCUUAUACGGGAUCGCUAUUCGAUACCGAUGAUGAUGCCAUAUCCUAGAUAUGGUCUUACACGAGAUCUCAACUCUAUCCCGAUGCCAUAUCCCAGAUAUGGUAUUAUACGGGACCUUCUCAGUCUCAUGUCAUGAUAAUGGUAUCCUUUGUAUUCCUAAACUUAACCGAGAUUCCGAUUCAACAUAAUUUCAUCGUUUCUUUAUCAAUAUCUCAUUAACAAAUUUCAUGGAAAUAAUAUAGAUUUCAUGUCAGAACAAAACAUUGAAUGCAUGAUAACAUAGUAUAAAUUUAUUACACACAAACUUACCUCGGAUCCAAAAUACGGGUGAAUAUUCAAUUUAAUCCACCACCUUGUUCUUUCCCCGGUUUCGGUCUGGACUUCGUGUUUCUUGAUCUAUAAUGACAAAUUUCACUUAUUUAAUCAUCACAUUGACCAAAACAGUCUAUAGUUCAUACUUUGGAAAAAUUAUAAUUUUACCCUAGACUUUCACAUAUUUGUAAAAUGGUCUCUAGGCUUGUAUGAUGAAAUGUACUCGAUUUCUUGGUUACCCAAGCCUAGCCAAACCUUAUAUGCACUCAUAACAGCCCAGAUUUCUCAUCAAAUCAAAUUUUUACCACUACUUUUACAACUUUUACAUUGUGGUCCUUUUCAUGAAUUUCCAAGAAAAGUCACAUAGAGAAUAUGUUUAUCAUUCAUCAAACUUCCAUAUUCUUUCAUUAAACAUCAAAACACAUGCAUGUCUUGCAUGGACAUAUUUUUGAACAUGAACCCUAGCUUCAAAUAUGGAUAUAAAUAGCUAGUUCGGUUGAUAACGAUUUCAAAAAUACGAAGAACAUUAAAAAUAGGGCUAGAUUGCACUUACUUGUGAGCUUGGGAAUGAACAAAACCCUAGCUAUGGAGACUUAGGGAUUUUCGGCACACUUGGAGAAGAAGAUGAACACAUUUUUGCUUCUUUUUCCCUUUUUAUUUCAUUAAUUAACCAAAUGACCAAAAUACCCUUAUGGCAUUUUUUUGAAAUUUUCUCCUUCCUUGGGCAUUUUUGUCCAUCAUGCCAUAAAAUGGUCUAAUUGCUACAUAAGGACCUCCAAUCAUUUUUCUAAUGCUAUUUCAUCCUUAAAACUUCUAAAAACUCAUAUUUUGCAAUUUUUGCAAUCUACUCCUAAAGGACAAAUUAAUCACCUAUUCACAAAAUUUCUUUAUGAAAUUUUCACACAAUCAUGAAAUCACAUCAUAGACCUUAAAGAAAUCAUAAAACAUAUAUUUUUAUAUCGGAUCUAUGGUCUCCCAACCACUAUUCUGACUAGGCCCUAAUUCGGGCUGUUACAGGUGGUGUCACCCUAUAUGGCGACAUCAGUAUGAAGAAUAGCUGGGUAAAAUACAGGGAAAGUCAAGUGACACCAUUGUUUACAAAAAAUAGUAAAUCGGGACUGAGAAACAUGAAAAAUGGGAGUCAAAAGGGAAGAUUUCAAGCCUAAGGAAGAAGAAAAAUGGGUGACCCCGUGAUUCCGUGAUUGUUCAGUCAUGUUCGCCAUAGGCAGUCAAACCGGUGUCGCCUAACACAAAAUUUUGUAUUAUGUCCCUAUUUUUGUAUUCCUCUCAACCCACUAUAUAUAUAACAUGGUAAGCUAUCGGGUUUAUAAAACAGACAUUUUAAAAAAAAAAUUGUUUAUUUUUAAUUGAAAAAAACUUAGUCUAUUUCUGAAAAACAUAAGAGUUAAAAGAAAACCAUUUAAAGUCACAAACUUAUGUACAUAAGUUUACCUUGUUGGAAAAGCGAUUUGAAAAAUGCAGUUGAAAAUAAAUUUAGGGAAAAACCAAAGUUUUAAAAGUUUUCCAAAACAAAAUAAAUUUGUUUUUUUAACUGUCGGCUGUUUGUGUCAAAAUUUAGGGGUGGUGUCGUCUAUGCAUCACCCUCAACCACCCCAAGCAUCUCGUUUUUGUAAUUAAUCAAGGUGGUGUACCAUUUUAGAUAUUUUUAUAUUUCUUUAUAUUAUAUAUGUAAAAAAAACUUUGCCUAUCUCUCUCCCUCCACCUCACCUGCGACAUUACAAGUGCCCAUAAAUUUAUUUUGUAUUAAAUGACCGUAUAAGUUUUUUUAUCAGAUUUUUUAUAACAUGAAUACUGGUGUAGCCUCUCUCACAUCCUCCACCUUUAAAGUAUAUAUAUUUUACCCCAUAUCAUUUUGUAAUGAUGUUUUGAUGAAUAAGUCAGAAAAAAAUGGUGCCACAUUUUCCAUACUCUCUAUCCCAACACUGUUGCAAACAUACCAUUUUGGUAAAUAAGUGUAUUGGCAUGCGAUUAUGGUAUUUAAUUAUUUAUUUUAUAUUAUUCAGGUAAAAAAGCCACAAUAUUAUUUAAUUACAUGAACAAUGAUUUUGAUUUUUAACUUUAGAAAUCAUAAACAUUUAUUAAAAUGAUGUAAUAAUUCGAAUUGUGUAUUUCAUAUUUAAGUUAAACUGAAAAUUUUGAUUUUUUAUUCGGGCUGAUCCGAAUAAUUCAAAUAACUCAAAUUAUUUAAUUCAAAAUUUAAAUUUUUAUCAAAUUUUUUAAUCAAUUCGAAUUUUACUCAUCCCUAUAUUAGAAUAUAAAAAUAUAAACUCUUAUAUUAGCAAGGGCUUCAAAUGAAGUUGGGCAAUACUAUCUGGGGCAUAGCACCAAUAAAGAUUGAUUUAUGAAAUUAUUUAUGAAAAUGGGUUGCUUUUAAAAAUAAUUAUAGGUAUGGAUAGAAAAUCUAAAAAUGAGCUGACGAGGACACGUUUUUCCUCGUGUCAAGCAAAAGCACACUCACAUGGAUUUUUGUUUUAAAAAUCGACCAUAAUAAAAAAAAAAGAAAAAGAAGAACAAAUUGCACGUAUGAAACUUGUACAUGCAAUAAUCUUAUAUUCAAUUUUAAAUGUUUGAAGUUAAUAUUAAUGCAAUUCUAUUUUUUUAAAUAAUUUUCCAUUAUUUCAAUUUAGAAGUUAUACAUAAAAUAUAAUAAUUAUUUUUCAUAUUUUUAUAUCUAGAUUAAAUUACAUUAGUACUCACUUAAUUAUGAUUUUUUUACUAUUGAGUUAUAAAAACUUAAAAAAUGAUCACUCAACUAUUAGUUUUUUUUUGUCACCCAAUUAUCUUGAAUUUUAAGGUAUGUAGAAAAAAAAAGAAGAAGACAAAUUUGAAUAAUUGAAUGAGAAUUUUGUAACUUUUCAUAAACAGAUGAUUCAAAAAAACAUAAUUAAAUGACUAUUUCAUAUUAAUUUUUUAAUCCUAAAAAAAUUUAAAAAAAGAUAUAUCAAUUUUUUAAAAUUACAAAAAAAAUAUACUGAGUACUAAACAAUUAAAAAAUGCAACAAGAUUAAACAUCUCAAAAAAUAAUUUUAUAAUAUGAGAAAAUGUUAAAAAAAUAUAAAAAAUAGAAAUUAUUUUGUAAAAAUGUAUAAAAUAUAAUGUAGCAUUUAAUCUUAUAUUGUUAGUUAAAACAUGAUGGAAUCCCACAUUGUCUAGGAACAAGCUGCAAACAUAUUCAUGAGCCUAUAUAUACACGUAUCUCACAUUCUAUAUUAUUUAAGAAAAUAAUAGAAAUGACACUUUAAGUUUAUAUAAAAAUCUGUUUUGUAAAUUUUAUUUUUCACAUUAAUUGAUGGCACCAAAAAAUUUAAAAGAAUGGUGUUAUUACUUUGGAUUUCAUAAAUUUAAAAUAAAUUUAUUUAUUUUGUAAUAUUUUAAAAAUUACAUUUAUUAAAAAUCUAGUUUGACGUACGUCGAUCCUUACCAAUAAUUAUUUUUACAGUCGUUUAUUUCUGUGGUCUAUAUUCUCCAUCAUUGGUACUAUGCCCUACUAAGUGGAAAGUGACGCGGCUGUGCACUAGAAUGGAUGGGUCGAGCAGGUCUGCAAGUCCUUACAAAUUGCACACUGUCCAAUUUAAAUAAUUGAGAUAAUGAAGUUUUUCAUUUUCAUUUUCUUUAUAUUUUCAUUUUAGUAUUUUUUAUAUAUUAAAAAAAUAUCAUUUCAUCAAUGUAUCAAAAUAAAAAAAAUAACAUUGUGACACGAAAGAUGUACUUGGUGUCGGCUAUCUAUUGGCGAACACCAACAAAAAAAAUUGGUUUUACAUAUGUGGUGUUGGCCAUUACAUGGCUAACGCCCAAAUUUUUUUCAAGUACUGAUAUUUUUGUAUACUAAUAUGAUACGAUUUUAAAAGAAAAUACUUCGGUACCGGCCAUUGGGUUCUUAAAAUCUUAUUUUACUGUUCAUUUCAGGUUAUUUUGAUAAUUAUUUUUAAACUUAAAUCAUUUUUUUAAAUAUCAAUUUUUUUUGAAUUAUAUUGAUAAAAUAGCCUUGAUUGGGGAAAUAAUUGACAUAAUGAUGUUUUCCAUUUUUUUUACUUUAUAUUUUCAUUUUAGUAUUUCUUUAUAUAUUAAAAAAAAUAUCAUUCCAUCCCACUGCCUCCUUAUAAAAGAAAAAGAACAGUGGCAGCCAACUUACAAAGCCAUCCUUGUAUAAUAUAGUAUUUUAACUCAUUAGCCUGUCCCUCAUGGAAUCCCAUAUUGAGAAACAAAAUGAAGAUGCGCUUCAAAAAUCUUUUAAAGAGAUGAUAUCUAUUCUCCCUCAAGGAAAUUGUUGGGGUUAUUCUGAUGAUCUAUGUCAAUAUCAAGGUUUUUGAUUCUACCCAACUUUUCUACAAGGAGCUUUGUCGGCUCAACAACAAUUCCAGGCACAACCCACUGAUAUCAUCCUUUGUAGCUCUCCAAGAACAGGUGUAGCCUGGUUAAAAUCCCUCACUUUCGCCACAAUUACAAGAACUUCAUACAAUGAUUCCACCACCCCUUUACUUUCCAAGAUGCCUCAUGAUGUUGUGACUUUCAUGGAGUUCGAUCAUGCCCAGUUUUCCACUAAUCGACAUAUUGGAAUUCCUCUUUUAGCCACUCAUCUUCCUUAUUCCUUAUUACCCAGAUCUAUAAUUGAUUCUGGUUGUAAACUUAUUUACAUUUGCAGGGACCCCAAAGAUACAUUUGUUUCAUUGUAUCAUUUCAUUGCAAGGUACAGCAAAUCCCAAAAUACUCAACCCAUUCAACUUGAUGAAGCGUUCGAAUUGUUUUAUAAAGGUGUAAGUUGUUAUGGGCCUUAUUGGGACCAUGUUCUGGGGUAUUGGAAAGCAAGUUUGGAACAUCUAGACAAGUUACUAUUCUUGAAAUAUGAAGAACUGAUUGAAGAUACUGUUUUGUAUCUUAAUAAAAUAGCAGAAUUUAUGGGUUAUCCUUUCUCGUCAGAGGAACAACAACAAGGGGUGCCUGAAAACAUUGUACAGCUGUGCAGUUUCGAGAAUUUAAAUGGCUUGGAAGUAAAUAAAACUGGGAAACAUCGUGAUGGGCAAGGAAAUUUGGCGAUGGAAAAUAACAUUUUCUUCCGGAAAGGGAAGGUUGGAGACUGGAAGAAUUAUUUGACCACUGAAAUGCCUCGACGUUUAGACCAACGAACACUGCAAAAGUUGAGCAGUUCAGGUUUAAGUUUCUAACUGAAGGUCCACAAUCUAUUUAUCAGAUAUCAGAGCUGGUAAUUAUACCUUUUAAUAAUAUUAUCUUCAAAUAAGGUCAUCUUGAUCCCAUUUAGUAAUACUGAUGGGUAUUGAUUUAUUGUACUAUUCCUCCAAUCUUUAGUUGGAGCUCGCUAGUAGAACCUUAUCAAUUAAAUGUUUAUUUUUUAAAUCUUUAGUUGGAGCUCGUUAGUAGAACUUUAUCAAUUAAAUGACUUAAAUAAAUAAAAGCUUUUAAAUAAUUUAAUAAUUUAAAUAAAAAUUUUUAAAUAAUUUAAUUAUUAUUUUUCGGCCAAACCAAACCUGUUGAUAAUAAAUAGGGACCCACUUGUGGGUUGUGUCUCGUAAGAGAUAAGAUGAACUUACUAAUUGACCAAUAAUUUGUGCCAUGUCAUCAUCAUUACACAAAAAUUAACAAUUUUAUCCUCAACAAAUAUUUCUCAUAAAAUGAUUCUACAAACACAAAAAAUGUGUCUUUUUAGGUGUAUUGGUGUAAUUUUGGUCAAUUUUAUUUUAGCCCCCAUAUUAUGUGUAAAUUGCAUAUUUAAUCUUUACAGUUUAACUAAUUUCAUAUUUGUAUGCGUUUUUUGAAUUUUGAAAUUUUAGACUUAGCUCAAAUUUAUUAGUAGUCUCAUAUUAUUCAUAAGUUGUUGAUUUUCUUCAAUUACAUUAUUUUUAGUCUCUAUACUUCUUGAAUUUCAAAAUUUCAGUUUAGUAGCUGUUAGUUGCGGAUCAUGGGAUUAAUUUUUUUUUUGGGAGGCUACUUAAAAUUUUCAAAAUAAUAGGAGUUUAAUAAGGUUUUUUUAAAAUGGGAUCUAAUUAAAUUUUUUAAAAAAUAUUGUGAGUUUAAUGAGAAAUUCUAGAAAUUUUAAGAGAGUGUAGUUUAAAUUUUUAAAAAAAAAGGCAUAAUGGGAUUUUUUUUAAAAACUUAGUGGAACUAAUUAAAAUUUUCAAAAAAACUAGUUUAAUAUGAAUUUUUUUUUAAAAAAAUUAGGGGUCUAGUUAGUAUUUUUAAAAAUUAUGAUUUUACGUAACUUUUAAAAGAGAUUAAUUGAUAUCUUUAAAAAAAAUAAAUGAAAUUUUUCAAAAAUUUGAGAGGGGGCAAUGGCCCAAGGCUCCCCUCGACCAUCAUUAUCAAUUGUCGUUGGUGGCCGUUACAUCUAUUAACUAAAAUAAAAUAGGUUUUUGUUAGCUUUGGAAAUAACAAGAUUUAACUUAACGAUUUAACAAUUAUCAUUUGAGUCAAAAUUAAAAUUUCAAAAUUCGAUAUAAUAGCCCAAAUCUGCCCGGGCCCAUGGUUAAAUAAAUAAAACCAAAAAUAGAAAAUAAAUGAAUGUUUAUUUAAAAACAUUACCCGUUCACGUGUAAGUUGGACUUUGAUUACACGAACAAUAUGGCUGAGUAUGAAGCGUGCAUCAUGGGACUUCAAGCAGCCAUAGAACGAGGAAUAAAAACCCUAAAAGUAUAUGAAGAUUCUACGUUGGUAAUUUAUCAGCUUAGAGGAGAAUGGGAGACAAGGGACCCUAAAUUGAUCAAUUAUCGAAAGAUAGUUUUAGGGUUACUUAAGGAGUUCGAUGACAUCACCUUCAAUUAUCUCCCACGAGAUGAAAAUCAAAUGGCAGCUACUUUAGCAACCUUUGCCUCAAUGAUUAAGACGAAUAAAGAGGAAGAGAUAAGACCAAUUCAAAUGAGUGUCUAUGAGGCUCCAGCUCAUUGUUGUAACAUUGAGAAGGAAGAAAAGGAUGAUAACCCUUGGUAUCAGGAUAUAUUACGAUAUGUGAGAGAUCGUAAAUACCCUGAACAGGCCAAUGAAAAUGACAAACGAACUUUGAGAAGGUUAGCUUGCGACUAUAUCUUGGACGGGGAUAUCCUGUACAAGAGAAGGAAAGACCAAGUACUUUUGAGAUGUGUCGAUGCUGCGGAAGUUAAGUUAAUUUUAGAAGAAGUUCCUGAAGGUGUAUGUGGGACGCAUGCAAAUGGGUUCACGAUGGCAAGGCAAAUCAUGCGGUUUGGCUAUUAUUGGGCUACUAUGGAAGGGGACUGUAUUAACAAUACCAAGAAAUGCCAUAAGUGUCAGAUUUAUGGGGACAAAAUUCAUGUACCACAUUCACCUUUGCAUGUUAUGACUUCUCCAUGGCCCUUCUCCAUGUGGGGCAUGGAUGUCAUUGGACCAAUAUCACCGAAAGCUUCGAAUGUACAUCGGUGUAUCUUCGUGGCAAUUGACUACUUUACAAAAUGGGUAAAAGCCGCUUCUUAUGCAAAUGUUACUAAGUCAGCCGUGAGUCGAUUCUUGAAGAAGGAGAUCAUUUGUCGGUAUGGAAUGCCUGAGAAGAUCAUAUCCGACAAUGCAUUAAACUUGAACAACAAAACGAUAGCAGAGGUUUGUGACCAGUUCAAGAUCAAGCAUCACAAUUCUUCUCCCUAUCGUCCAAAAAUGAAUGGGGCAGUGGAGGCCGCCAACAAGAACAUUAAGAAAAUAGUGGGGAAGAUGACUGAGACUUAUAGAGAUUGGCAUGAGAAAUUACCGUUUGCACUCCUGGCCUAUCGAACAUCUGUCAGAACCUCUACUGGGGAAACCCCAAUCUCGUUAGUUUAUGGGAUGGAAGCAGUGUUAUCUAUUGAAGUAGAAAUACCUUCUCGUCAAAUUUUGACAGAGAUAAGGUUAGAUGAAGCUGAAUGGGUUCAAUCCCAAUAUGACCAGUUGAACUUGAUUGAGGAAAAGAGGCUAAGAGCCAUUCGACAUGGUCAAAUGUAUCAGAAGCGAAUGAUGCGAGCUUAUGACAAGAAAGUUUGACCCAGAGAGUUCCACGAGGGAGACCUUGUACUGAAGAAGAUUCUUCCCAUUCAAAAGGACUUUAAGAGGAAAUGGAUGCCUAAUUGGGAAGUGUCGUAUGUCGUGAAGAAAGCCUUCUCUGGCGGUGCAUUGAUCUUAACGGAAAUGGAUGGGAAAAGUUUACCCAACCCAGUGAACUCAAACUCAGUUAAAAAAUACUUUGUCUAAAGGAGAAGAGAAUCCAAGGUGAAAACCCAUAAAGGGCGCAUUGAGAUUUAAAAAAAAAACGAAGAGGCCAAGGUGAAAACCCGCAAAGGGCACCUAGUGACCAAAGGGGUUUUGAGUUGGAAACCCGAAAGGGUAGCUUAAAUUUUGAAAAGUGCACAAGUGAUCUUGCUAUAUUUGAUCCAACAAAAAGCGAAGCACGUUGCAUAUUGGGGCAUCAACAAAGUACUUUGGAUCUUUUAAACACAUGUUGAACUAAAGAAAGACUUCGUGGAGCUGGUGUAUAAACACUCAAGCGGCGACAUCUUGGGCACCUAACUUUUAUCCUGUUUGCUAUCUUUAUAUUCUAUUUCUUCUUAAAGAUAGGCUUUCAAAUUAAUUUCCUUUGUAUCUUUUCGAUAAUUCGUUCUAAUCCAAUAAAAUUUAUUCAUCUUCCAUUAUUCUUUAAGUAUGUUGCAUUGAAAUAAUGAUAGAUGAACUAAAUAUGUUCAUAAACGAAGUUUUACGCAUUACUCUGGAAUUUCUAAAUAAUACAAGAAACUAAAACAGGACAAUUGUUCAAGAAAUUCACGUAAGUAAAGGAUGAAGGAACUCGAGGAAUUUCUUUCUUCUAGUCUAAAAGGAAAGUGGACAAAACCAACGAUUCAAUUUUAAGGAAAAAUUAUUUUACAGACAUCCUCAGUGGAUCAUAGCAUUAGAGGAAGGGUACAGGCCUACAGGCUAAGCAAGAAUAAUGUUUUGAAAAGACAAAUGAAGAAAUGAGUGGUGAUGUCUAGGAUAGGGGUCAUGUUCACAACAUUCUGCAUCAUAACAUGUUUAAUUAGGAACAUUCGACUCACUUCGAUCAUAGCAUCCUAAUUAUCAAGCAUAAUCAUUCUACAGGUUAUCAAAGACGACGCUCCUUAAACCCCCAAAGCAGUAGGGUAAUAGGCCGCAACAUAGCAGAUCUAGCAUGAAGCAAGAUCCAAGAUUGUUUGGAAUCCUUGUGCUUACAAGGAAUAAAUCAAAGACAUAGCUGAUUUGGCUUGAUUUGGUAUCUCUGUAUUGUCAGAGAACAAAUCGAAGUCUGGCAUCUCCACUUCGACGGGGAACAGAUACAUAGCAGAUCUCACCUUCAGAUGAUUUCACUGAAGCAAGAUCCAAGAUGAUUUGGCAUCCUUGUGCUUACAAGGAACAAAUUGAAGACAUAGCUGAUUUGGCUUUCACGUGUUUACGCUGAAGCAAAUCUAAGAUGAUUUGGUAUCUCUAUUGUCAGAGAACAAAUCGAAGUCUGGCAUCUCCACUUCGACGGAGAGCAGAUACAUAGCAGAUCUCACCUUCAGAUGAUUUCACUAAAGCAAGAUCCAAGAUGAUUUGGCAUCCUUGUGCUUACAAGGAACGAAUCGAAGACAUAGCUGAUUUGGCUUUCACGUGUUUACGCUGAAGCAAAUCUAAGAUGAUUUGGUAUCUCUAUUGUCAGAGAACAAAUCAAAGUCUGGUAUCUCCACUUCGAUGGAGAGCAGAUACAUAGUAGAUCUCACAUUCAGAUAAUUUCACUGAAGCAAGAUCCAAGAUGGUUUGGUAUCCUUGUGCUUACAAGGAACAAAUCGAAGACAUAGCUGAUUUGGUUUUUGCGUGCUUACGCUAAAGCAAAUCUAAGAUGAUUUGGCAUCUCUGUAUUCUCAGAGAACAAAUCGAAGAAGCAGAUUUGGCAUCUCUGUGUUUGGCGGAGAGCAGAUCGAAGAUGUCAACGUGGCAGUCUUGAGAUUGCAUCGAGUAGAUUAAGGACUAUGAUCCGAUAAGGCCGGGCAAAUUUGGUCUUUCUAUGAGUCUUUGCUCGAUUCCUGUUAUACAACAAUGAGAAAAGAGGGGCAGCUGUAAUAGCUCAAAUCUGCCCCAGCCCAUGGUUAAAUAAAUAAAACCAAAAAUAGAAAAUAAAUGAAUGUUUAUUUAAACAGUCCAUUUACAAUAAAUAGGCAUCAGGACCUCAUAAGCCCAAAUGCAAAAGUCUCAUACCCGGUUACAACCCAAUAGCCUAAACUACCUUAAUACUCGUUAUACCCUUAACCAAAACACAAUGGCCCCAGCAAACUCAUUACACCCAGGGGCCCAAGAGGCCCAAGUGACUUUAGAGAAACAGGAAACCCUAGGGUUUCCUGAAGACUGCAGCGCCACUGCAUCUUCUGGAAGCCUCGGGGAGCAUCUGUUCAACUCUCCAAAUCAAUGUCAUCAAUGCACAUUGACGCACCAUUAAUGCAUUGUCCAGAAGCUUGUCCCUCUCACGACCGAGCACUGUGACUCUGGCCUCACCGUGAUUUACGGCUGAAUCAACUCCGGUACCAGAUUCUCCAUUGAUACCUGCAAAAGAAGAAAAGAACCACAGCAACAAACAAAACAAAUAUGGAAAGAUAUAAAAAAAUUUCUUUCCUAGUUUAUGUAAUAACAGCAGUGGCUAUAAAAGCCCAAAUCAAAACAAUGUAAAGGGGGACCCGAUUUUUACAGAAUAAAAAAUAUACUUACACAUAUUCAUUCAGAGGGUUACAAGCAGUUUUAAGGUGAUAUAUAUACUUUAUGUUCUACUGUUUUUUUUAUGAAAUACUUAGCAUCAUCAGCAAAUCGACUAUUAAAAUAUUAAAACGGAAGAGUUACUUGUAUUUUCGCCCAAAAAGGACGAGGGUUUUUUAGCCCUCCGAUCACCGUACGCGGAGGCCCUCGUGAUGGCGCGUGGGCGCGUACCGACUGAGAACAGGGGCCCAACGAGGCUCUAAGGCCGACCCCAAAUCCUCUCACAGAGGAUUUCUCUGAGUUUUUUUAAAACUAGGCUUCUAAAUGAUUUUUUUGGUCGAAAUUUGGCUUAUAUAGCCCAAGAGAAACGACACCGUUUUAGCUUAGUCUGAUAAGCUUAAAAUGACGACGUUUUAAGGCCCCAGGAUCCGCGCGUUAACCCGAAUACUCGGGGAGGAUCGGCGUGUUUUUUGAGGAUUGGGUUAAUUGCCCAAUUGGUCCUUCCGUCUUUUUGUGUUUAAAAUUUUGUUUUGUUUUAUUUAUGAUUUAGCCCUGAUAUUUUGCUUCAGUUUUAAUUUAGUCCUUACAGUAACUGUUCAAAGUCCUGGAUUAAAACGAUGUCGUUUAGGGACAAGGGAAAAAUUUUCCGAUGAGUCCCUAGGGUUUCAAUAGCUGUUUCAAUUAGGUCUGGUCUCAGUUAUUCUCUUUUUAAAUUAGCCUCUGACUUUUAUUUACGUUCAAUUUAGCCCAUUUUAUCCCUUUUAAUCUAUUUAUAACCUAUUUAUUUUAAAACUUUAUACAUAUACUAUUAUAUUUUAAUAUGAAUAUAUGUAUUAUAUUUUAUAUUAUUUACUUAUAUUUUAUUAUAUUACUUAAUAUCUUCCUAUUAUCAUAUUAAUAUAUAUUUUAACAUAUAUCAUUACUUAUUAUUUAUUAUAGCAUAUUUUUAUCAUAUAAUGUUUAUAUAUCUUUAAACUAUUGUAUUAACCAUAUAUUAUUUCAUAUUAUUAUUAUUUAUUAUAUAUUUUAAAAUUAUUAUUAUUUUACAUUAUUAUUUAUAUAUUUUUACUUGUAUUAUAUCUUUAUUAAUUAUUUAUAUAUUAUACAUAUAUACUUUCAUAUUAUAUAUUAUAAUUAUUUUAUAUUAUGUCAUUUUUUUAUACUAUUAUAUGUUUUUUUAUUUAUACAUUAUUAUCAUUAAAGGUUUUAACUUAUAUUAUAUACUUAUUUUUUAUUUAUAUGUUAAUAAUUACUUUACUUAUAUUCUAUUAUUACACAAUUUGAAGAUAUUAUAAUAUUGUAAUUUGUAUAAUACGUAUAUUUCAUCAUUAAUUACUUAUUUCACAUUAUUCUAAACUUAUAUUUAUAUAUAUUAUAUAAUUAUUAUAAAUAUAAAUUCUUUUACAUAUUUGAUAUUUUAUACAUUAUUUUUCUAAACCAAUAUAUUUUAUAUUUUUAUAUAAGUAUUAUUCUUAUAAAUAUAUUUUUUAUUUUAUAUUAUAUUUUAAAUCUAUCAUUAAAUAUCACAUUUUAUAUGCUCAUUCUAUUUAUCAAUUGUUUAUAUUAUACAUAUUUUUUUUAAAAAAACUUAUGUUAUUAUUAUUAUACAAUAUUUGCUUUUACUUUAGAAUUAAUGUAUUAUUGCUAUGUUAUGUAUUUUAUAUGUUAUGUAAUAUCUUAGACUUUUAUAAUUUAUUUUCAAAUGCAUUUUUUUUAUAAAUGUGUUAAAUUGUAUAUCAUACAUCAUUUGUGUUUAAAUAUAUGUUGAAUUAUGUGUUUAGGAAUUUUUACCUAAUUCUUUUUAAAUAUGUAUUAUGUUUUAUGUUGAAUUAUAUGUUAUCUCGUAUGUUAUGUUAAUAUGCUCCUUCAUGCAUCGGUUUUAAAAAAGAGACUUCAAAGUUUUCAAAAAAAUAAAAAGGCAAUGCUUGGUAUUUGGAAGCUUCGAGAAAAGUAGUGCCCUAACUUAUUGGGUUGCAACUUUUCUCGUUGAGUUCGAAUAGUCAGGUACCCUUCUAAGUUUUUAAAGAUUUUCAAAAUACGAGCAACUGUCUUGGAAAUUUCAAAGCGUUGUGUCCUAACUUAUUGGAUAUGGCAUUUUGUUGUUUUCGAGAUAGGGAUUUCCAAAAUGCUAACUUAUUAUCAAUAUUUUGAUACAAAUGAACCCCAACUUUCAAAAUCAAAAUAUUUUAAAGAGGAUUGUAUCUUAAAAUUCUUAAAUUUCCGACCUUAAAGACAUUUGAUAAUUAAUUAGGUAUCAAGUUUUGGGCGUUACGAGGGUGCUAAUCCUUCCUCGUACGUAACCGACUCCCGAACCCGUUCUUUUAUUUCGUAGACCAAAACUAAUGAUUUUAAAACAAAAUGUUUUAAAGGUGAUCCAAUCACACCUAAAAAGAUUGGUGGCGACUCCCGUUUUCGUUUUUUAAAGUCGAUUCUCAUUUUCCCAAAAUUCGAUUUAAAAAGGGUUUCAACAUUCGAAACAUAUAAAAUUAAAAAUAAUCAAAUUAAAAUACAUAAAUUAAUUCCACAACUCAUUCAAAAUACAAAAAUUAAUAGCUAAUUUUUUUUUUCGAUUGAUAUCUUGUAUCUAUUUAUAAUAACACAUUAAAUAUUUUUAAGAAGCUAUAGUAAUUUAAUUUACAAUGAUCUGUUAAGACUUGAUUAGCUAUAUAGAAAAUUUCAUAAAUAAAUAUGAAUUAUAAAAUUUUAAAAAUAAUGUAAAAAAAAACGUUUUUUAUUUACUUAAAUGUUGUAAUUUUUUAUAUUUAUUAUAACCUUUUUUUUUCUAAAAAUUAUUUUUCACAAUACAAAUAUUUCAAUACUCGUAUAUUCAAUUCCAAAAUUAUGAAUUUUUGACUAAAAAAUUUAUUUAUCCGCUGUCUAAUUAAGAGAAAGGAUUGUAUGAAACAGUGACGCCACGUCAUCUGUACCCAUUUCCAAUAGGUUUAUGCCACAUCAGCAUUAUCAUCCUAAAUUUCAGCAUUCCCAUCUUGAAAAAAAUCAAAUCUAAAUUAAAAUGCUGAAAUUUAGGAUGAUAAUGCUGAUGUGGCAUAAAACUAUUGGAAAUGGGUACGGAUGAGGUGGCUUCACUGUUUCAUACAAUCAUUUUCCGUCUAAUUAAUAAGUGAUAUUGUGGAAGUAUGUGAGGAUUUUUCUACUUAAAUAAUAUAAAAAAUAAUUAUUUAUAGAUGUGGGAUAAUUUAAUCAUUAUUUACAAAAUGAGGUAAAAGCAACGGUUGAUAAUCGGUGUCACUUGAGUAAUCGAUAAUAGUACACUCACCUGGCAACAAUCAUUAGGUCAUUGGUUAGAUUUUUAAAAAAUUAUUUUUUUUGUGUUGUCUGAGUGAUUGGCGAUAUCAGUAUGUAUUAGCCAAAAAAAUACAAGUAUUUUUGUACGAACGAAAAAAAAAUAUAACUUUUUAAUGGUGUCACUAACGUGUCAGGCGUCACCAGUAUAUAUUAAUAUUUAAUUACAUUUUUUAAAUUAAUUGAAACAAAUGAAAAGAAGCUUGAAAAUCGAAAAUUAGAUAGAACCUGUGAAUGAUCAGUCAUGUCGGUGCAAGUCGUCAAGCCGGUGCCGUUGUGCUCACCCAACCCCUACGUAAACGGUAAAAAAAAAAUCCCCACUCACAACAAAAAAAGGAGUUAGGAUAAAAAAUUAAAUUCUUUAUACUUUCAAAAAUCACAGUAUUUCUCUAAUAUUAUACAAGUGGCGCCAUUCUAUAUAACUCUACUAAAAAAUUUAAAUUUUUAAUGUAGAUUACUAACUUGGCAUGUUGGUAGCGCCAAACACUUUGGUUCCAUUAACUUUUGUAGUAGAUUUUGAGUUAUUUUCUUAUUUUAUCAAAAAAAUAAAUUAUUUAAAUAAUUAAUUAAUUUUUAAAGAUUAUUUUUAUAAAAAAAUUGUAAUGAUUUUUUUAAAAAUUAUUAUUAUUUGUGAAACUUAGAAUAUAUAUAUAAAGAAUAAGUGAGGUCAAAAAAAAGUUACUUUAAUGAUUAUUCAUACAAUACAUUUAAUAAAUGUGAUUUAUAUAUAUAUAUAUGUAUGAGGGUGAGAGAAAAUAGCAAAGUGUGUGUUUUAAUUUUAUUUUUAAUAUGUAAUUACUUAUAUAACUCUAUUGAUAUUUUGCUUUUAUUUAUUUGAUAUAUUAAGUAUUUGAUUAAAUUGAUGUCAUAAGUUAAUUGAGUUUUUUACAAAAAUAAUAAUUAAUUAGGAAAAUAGGUUAGAGAAAAAUUAUUUACGAAAAUAUAUUGUUUUGAAUAAUCCCUAUCUGUGUCACUUGACACACCAACGACACCACCCCAUUUUUCCAAUUCAGCAAACAAUUAUAAGUUUUUUUUUAAAUUGUUCCGCCAUUAUGUUAGGCAUUAUCGAUAGGUAUGUUUUGAAAAAUACCUAAGAAAAAACAAGUACACCAAGGAAUAAAAAAAUAUUUUUUAAAUGAGUGUCGCCUGGUAACCUAACGACACCACUUUAAUUGUUUUUAAAAAAUUACGUCUUGGGUUGAGUACUUUUAAUGUUUCUAUUUUGUUAUUCAAAUUUCCAUUUAAAAUCCAGCCCAUUUAAAUUUUGACCAGCAACUUUAAUAGGAUUAAAAUUGUUGGGGGAUUUUUACUCCAAUAUUAUAAAAAAAUUGAAUAUGAAAAUGGGUUGCCAACCAAUUAAUUACGAAAAUGGGUUAUUUUUUCGGGUCGCGCUUAUUUGACAGGCGCAACCUAAUAUUUUAAUAUUAAAUGUUGUUCAUUUAAUAAAAUAUUAUUAAUUUUUUUAAUAUUUAUAUUAAUAUACAGGUAAAAAUAUGAAUUUUAUACGGAUAAAAAAACCCAAAACGGGUCGCGCCUGUCAGAUAGGCGAGACAUGAGGCGCAACACCCCUGUGCAUGGCCUGCUGCUCUGCUCCGGUCGGCUGCUCCGUGCCCGUGCCACCACCCUCCCUCCCCAAUUGUUUCCUUUCCCUCAUGCAUGCAUUAGUCAUGUCAUGGUGGGGUGGGAGAAAAAAAUCAAAAUGGGGACCUUAUAAGCCGCGGUCCCCCCAAGUAAAAAUCAAGUUUGUGUUUCAGCAGCAUGUAGGCCACCAAAAGAGAGAAAGAAAUGAGAGAAGAGAGAAGACAAAAAGAAGAAGAAGAAGAAAUGAAAAAAAAAGUAAUGUAUUAUUUUAGUAAAUAAAAUUAUUUUGUAUAAAACUUAAAGAGUUUAAUUAAAAGAUGUCGUGAAUUUUUUUUGUUAUUAUUUAUAAAUUGUUUAUAAUUAUUUUAAAAUUAAAUUGUUAGUAAUUUAGGACUAUAUUAUAAAUUUUUGUGUUUGGAAUUAUUUUAAAAUAUUAUUAAUUUUUUUAAUAUUUAUAUUAAUAUACAGGUAAAAAUAUGAAUUUUAUACGGAUAAAAAAUACCCGAAACGGGUCGUGCUUGUCAGAUAGGCGCGACAUGAGGCGCAACACUGCUGCGCAUGGCCUGCAGCUUUGCUCCGGUCGGCUGCUCCUUGUCUGUGCCACCACCCACCCUCCCUCCCUCCCUCCCUCCCUCCCUCCCCAAUUGUUUCCUUUCCUUCAUGCAUGCAUUAGUCAUGUCAUGGGGUGGGAGAAAAAAAUCAAAAUGGGGGACCCAAGUAAAAAUCAAGUUUGUGUUUCAGCAGUAUGUAGGCCACCAAAAGAGAGAAAGAAAGGAGAGAAGGGAGAAGACAAAAAGAAUAAGAAGAAAUGAAAAAAGAAGAAGAAGAAAGUAAUGUAUUAUUUUAGUAAAUAAAAUUAUUUUGUAUAAAACUUAAAGAGUUUAAUUAAAAGAUGUUGUGAAAUUUUUUUGUUAUUAUUUAUAAAUUAUUUAUAAUUAUUUUAAAAUUAAAUUGUUAGUAAUUUAGGAUUAUGUUAUAAUUUUUUGUGUUUGUAAUUAUUUUAAAUUAAUUUAUUAAUAAUUUAUGAUUAGGUUAUAUAAAUCUUUAGUGUUUAGUGGUUUAGUGUAUUAUGACUUUUUAAAAAUGUAUUUUUUUUAAAAAAAUUAUAGUUAUUUUGUGUUAGUGUUUAUAGUUUAGUGUUUUGUUAUUUUUUUAAUGUAAUUUUUAUAUAAUGUAAUUUUAUAUUAUUAUAUAUUUAUUUGAUAAUUUUUAUUGAUUUAUUAAAAUGUUGAUUUGUUGUUAUAUUUUAUAGGUUGUUUGAAAGAAACUAAUUAGGUAUGUUUCUAUUUCUAUUAUUUUUAAUUCAUAUGUUUUUUAUAUUUAGAUAGUUUAUAUUUAUUUUAAUUAUAUUGUUAUUGUAGUCUAACAUAAUUUUUUUUAUUGUAGGUAAAUGAUGGGAAAUUAUGAGUAUUUAUCGUGUUUUGUUUCUAAAAUUUUGAAAUAAUUUAUUGUAUUUUUUGAAAUAAAUUAAAUAAAUUUAUUUUUUAAUUGCAGAUUUGCAACAAAUGGGUUCGUUGAUUGAUAAUAAAAAUCACAUAUUAAGUACCAUUAAUGAGAUGGUAAUGAAAUUUUUAUUUGGUAGUCAUGUUAUUUGUUGAAUUAAAUUAUAUUGUAUUAACUAUUUUGUUAAUAUAAUAAUGCCAGGGCCCAUACCGCGUAUUGAUGGGCCGUGUUAAUAGUGUAGGGUUUCAGCCAGAUGAGUGCCUAAUAUUGUUCAUGGAGUUAGUCGGGUUUGGAUCAGCAGCAUUGAUCUGGACUUUUGAUCUGCGAUAUGACUUGAUUUCCGAUUUAGUUGAGCAAUGGCGUCCGAAGACCCACACAUUUCAUUUGUCGUGCGGGAAGUGCACCAUCACUCUAGAGGACGUUGCACUACAGCCGGGGCUCCCCAUCGACAGGAACGCGGUCACGAGAGUAAGUUCGGUCACCAGGUCAGCUACCCUAUGCUAUGAAUUACUUGGACGUUCACCAAGUGAGGGAAAAUUUGCCAGGUUGAGGUUUUCAUGGCUAAAGGCUAAUUUUGAGUAUUUGCCUAAUACUGCCAAUGAAUGGGAGGUGAUGCAGGCCACUCGAGCGUAUAUUAUGCACCUUAUAGGGGGUGUACUCAUGCUGGAUUCAAACUGCAGUAUGGUCCACUUGAUGUACUUACCCCUACUAUACAAUUUGCAUAACAUGCGUUCAUACAGUUGGGGGUCCACGGUGUUAGCCAUGUUGUAUCGCGAACUUUGUCAAACGACUGAUCCCUCUAUGAUGGACAUAGACGGAUGCCUCAUACUACUGCAAUCAUGGGCACUUUACCGGAUGCCGUUCUUGGCAUCCAUUAGUCACCAAUUAUAUAUAUUUCCGCUCGUUAAUAGGUGAUAAAAUUUUACGCGUUAUAACAAUUAUUUGACUUUUUUCGAAUUAUAUUGUUCUAACAAUUUGUUUUCGUAGAUGGAGCACAAAUUCGAGUAUCGGGAGGUCAUACACGAUUUCGAUAUACCGUCUAAUGAUCGAGAAUCAUUCUGGAGAGGGGGUAAGUUUUUCCAAUAUCAAUUUAAUUUUAUUAUUUUAUCUCACUCGACCCGCGUUAAUAUAAAAAUGUUAUUAACUGUGCAGUUCAUUUAGAUUCCGUAUUCUGUUCCAGAAAUUAUGACUGUUAUUCCAUCGUCUGCCCACGUCCACUCAAAGUUAUAAUGCAUUAGCGCACCCGUUAUCCAUUGUCAGAUGGUGGAGGGUAUCAUGGCGAUCGAGUAUUCCGGCAGUUCGGUUGCAUACAAUAUAUCCUGACACUGCCAGUAUGAUUGGGGGAGAUCCAUGGGAUGACCAGGUGGGCGAGGCACGGGACUGAUUGAGGAGAUGAGCAUGAAGAAUAUAUUACGAUGUGGAACAAUUAGUUUGGUAGGGUACCUCAGAUGGAUCAUAGUUUGGCUCUGUAGCUCUCGUUAGAGUACCUAUAGUGGUAUUGUAAGAUAGGGAAACCAUUUUUGUUUGGUGGGCAGUCGAUGGUAGUCCUCCCGCAUACGACACAAAUUGGGCAACAUUUUCCAGAUCUGCAUCAUGCACCAAAGCCGGAGUUAGAGCCAGAUCCAGAGCUGGAGCCAGAACUACACUCUAGAAGUAGUUCUUAUCAUCCAGAUUUUGGGGGUGAUGACUAUUUCUCGGGCUCUUCAACCCACGGAUAUCAUUCAGAGUUUGAUAUCUUCAGCCCACUACCACAUUAGUACUCCAAUCAUCCCAAUUCAUAUCUAUCUCAGCACUCAGCUCCUUCUGGCCCGUAUCCACCACCGUAUUCACUCCUCCAGAGCCGUAUCCACCACCAUACUCUACUCCCACUGGCCCGUAUCCACCGCCAUUCUCUACUCCGCCCGGCUCGAGUUUAUCGAUGGCAUUUGAGACAUAUGAUUUUUUGUCUAUAUUUCGCACACCCCUACAUAUGGAUGAAGAGAACGUUGAUCGCUGUAGUCGCCCGCAACGUGAAUGUCGAGCUCCACAAAAAUAUACCUUUAGAACCACACUAUUAAACCAUCAAUUUUAACGGGUUUUGUAAUAUAAAUAACUUCAUAUUUAUGUAUGAAUUUUUUGGCAUUUUAUUUAUCAUUUUUUUUUGCAAAUUAAAUAGUCAACGAUGACUAUUUAUGUAAUGAAUUUUUUUGGCAUUUUAUUUAUGAAUUUGAGAGCGAAUUUUGGAAUUGCUUGGGUUGAAGUACAUAAUAGAAAAAAAAAAGAGAAAGAGUAUUAAAAACAAUCAAUUUUAAAAUACUUAAAAAUUAAAGAGACAGAACUUUUUCUUUCAUCAUGCAAUGAACAACAUGUAAUGGACAACAACUCAAUUUCUAUCCGAUCGUGAUGAUUGUCCAAUAUGGUAGUUUCGGAGCGAGCAUUUACUUCAAUUAUAACAGGCUAACCUGCAUACUCCACAUAGCUUCCCGUCAGAUUUCUCUCUAAUGUCCAUUUCGUUAUGGAUUCUGGAUGAUUGCGGACAACCUUUCGAGUUCCUACGCAACCCUUUGUCUGGGAUAAGCUCGAAGGUCGUCCGAGGAACCUCCCAAGUAAAUAGGUCAGGAAGCACAGGAAAUUUAUUCUCCCAUACACGCAACAUGCUUUCAAAGGUGUACACUUCAUCAAUAAAUUGAUCUACAUUAAUUGAGACUUUAGCACAAGUUGCCACGACAUGUAUACAAGUAUAAUAACGCGUCUGGAACCUACUGCAAUCGCACCGUCUAUUUCAGAGAUCAACUCCGUAGGACCUAGGUGGUAUAUCGAGUCAACGACCGAUGGUCUCUGUAACACGAAACGUUCUAUUACGUCAUGAAUAUACUUCUACAUUCAUCGACCUCGCCAUCUGACAGUUUGCAACCAUUGCAUCCCUGACAUCUUUGACAAACAUAUGUCCUGCCUCCAGCUGGUUGAGUUGUUGCGGACUCAUUCUUGGCAUCAAGGUAGCCAACCUGUAGAAUGUAGCUGAGAAGACAGAUGAAAUAAGAAGAUAUUGUGUUUUCAACAACACAGCCUUGAUCCUCUUCACCAAGUUUGUGAUCAUUUGACUGUAACGAAAGUCCUUGUCAAAACAUUAAGGCCAUAGCCACCACUCCAUGGUACCCAACCAUUUUCGGAAAGAUGUGUUCGUUUGACCUUCCAUGUCACUCUAAAGUCGAGUCAUCCUUUGCCGAAAAAUGUGUGGUUCUAGCUUGUACGCUGUAUAUAUAUUAAGAAAAUAUAAGUUAUUGUCUCGCCACAAGAAAUUAGGUUAUAAAUUGAAAGGAUAAGGUUAUUCUUUACCUAUCUUCACAACUUGUCUCUUCCAAACUAUAUUCCUAUAAUCUCAAUGAAAAUUAGCCGCGAUGUGUCGUAUGCAGUAAAAGGAUCUCCAUAGCACAUCAGAACGCCUAAUGGCGGCAAUUAAUCCUUUCUCUCUAUCGGAGAUUAUGCAAAUAUUAUCAUUACUAAUAACAUACCUCCGUAGAUUUGUAAGGAAGAAUUCUCACGACUCCAUGUUCUUCUUAUCUAUGAUAGCAAACACAAUCAGGAGCACGUUCCUAUUCCCGUAUUGAGAAAUCAGAAUAAGUAAGAUCUACGUAUAUUUACCGUAUAGCCAUGUCCCAUCUACUUGCACAAACGGCUUACAGUGGGGAAAUGCACGCACACAUGGAUUAAACGUCCAGAACAUCCGUUGGAAAAUUUUUUUCUCGAUUGUAGUUACUCAUCUAGGUCGUAAUAAGGUCGUGUCUGCAACUCAAUGAUAGUCCCCGGUAUGUACUCCCUCAUAGCGGUAUGAUAUUAGAUACUGGAAUCGUACUUGCAUUUUGAAAAUUAGUACUGAAACUCUAAUGGUCGGCAUGUCUUCAACCAUUGGCAUGAUGCAUGUGCAGAUAGUUUUGGAAUCAAGUUUUCGAUGAUCUUCUGUCAUACGUGUUGAAGUACAUGUGUAAGGCUUAACAAAUUUUCAUAUCUCCCACAUUUGAGACUUCUAGAUAAAUGCAGAUCGUAUCCGCCAAUUGCAGCCUUCCGUCGACUUCUAAUACUCUCUAAUAUAUAGUGUCGAUUUAGACUCGAUGACUUUGUAGUGUAUUAAUAUAUUCAUAUUAUACCAUUUAAUGGCAAAUACGCACUCUUCCUUACUUUCGAAAUUUUAGCCCACGAACAACUCCUCAGAAUCAGAAUAUACGGUCAUCCAGUGAACAGGUAGUAUUUCUGGGUACUCCGAGAACUCGGCUGCAUAUGUCGCAUCGAGGUCUAUGCGAGACAUAUGUGCCCUAAGAUUAUUGUUAUCACAAUACGACGAAUCUGGUUCCCAACUGAAGACACAUUAAUGUUUCCAUCCUCGUUCACAUCUUCAUCAUCAAUAUCAUCCGGGACCUCGUCCACGUCGGGAUCACUAUCAAUAUCGACUUCAUGAUCAGAAUGAUCACUAUUAUGGUAGACAUCAUCACUAACCAUAUCAGUCUCGGGUGCAGCAUUAAGAUCAAUGUCGAUCCCAUUUGUAGUUGAUUUACUACCAACGUAUGAUAUCGGAACCACCAUACACGGUUCUUGAUGUGCAUCUUCUUCACCUAAUAGAGUUGGAUCUUCAGUUGCCUCCACACCAACUAACUUAGCAAAUAACUGAAUCAGUGCAUUUUGGUUGCUUUGAGUCCCACAAUAAAAAGUGACCAUUGUCUCCACGUCUUCAUCUUCUACAAGUUCCAUUUCAGUGAAUUUUAUGAGAUCUGUCGAAACUAGAAACUUGUAGAAAAGUUUCGAGAUCCUUCUUCCACAACGUCUAUAAAUUUUUUCACUAAUUUUUUCCUUCAUAUCAUCAAACGAGAUAUUUCUAUUAAAUCCCACUGCUACUAGUUUGCGACAUUUAAAUAUACAUCCCACGCUUGUUGUCAAAAUUUCUCCAUCGAAAUAAACGCAUACGAAAAACUGAUUCUCUAUCUUCAAUACUAGAUUUGUUAAAAAAAUUUCAAAUUUCUCAAAAUAAUUUCAAAUAGCAAAAAAGUUAUAUAAAAUUUUUAUGCAAAAUUUUUCAUUCAGAAGCUAACAAAAUUAUUAAUCUAACAAAAUAACUUUAAAUAAUAAAAUUUCUAACAAAAUUCUACAUUCUAUUUAAAAAUAAAUAAACUAUAAUACCUUAUCCUUCUUCUUGUUUUCCUUUCUUUCCUUCUUCUCCAUAUCUUCUAACUUCUGCUAAAUUUUGUGUCUGUUAAUUUUCUGUAUGUUGCUCAUGAUUUUCAAGAGAAUAUAUAAGGGAAAAUUUAAGCCUGUGAGCCCCACCGGUUGCGCCUAUCAAGAAGGCAUAACAAGUUGAGCCUUCUUGAUAGGCGCAACUCGUAUGCAUACCACUCCCAUACAUAUACACGGGUUCUAUACUGAUCCGAAAAAAAUAUAUUAAAAUAAUAAUAUUUUAUUAAACGAAAUAAAUUAAUAUUAAAAUAUUGGGUUGCGUCUGUCAGAUAGGAACGACCCGAAAAAGUAAUCCAUUUUCGUAAUUAAUCUGGCUGACAACCUAUUUUCGUAUUUAAUUUUUUUAUAAUAUUGGAGUUCUUUUAUUUUUUUCUUUUUCUUUUUCUUUUCAUGUUGAAUGCUUCUAUUUUUUAUUUUAUUUUAUUGUUUUCUCUUCUUCUCCUUAAUUGAAAACCCUAGCUGACAUACACAAUAGCCACCGAUUUCGGUGUUUAUCGUGGCCUUUUAUACUGAUUUCGACACCAAAGAAGAGAUUUUCUCCUUCUUGUUGACUUCUACUGUACAGAAUAUUCUAAAAUAAUGACCAAAGCUUCGAACUACUCUUUCUUCAAUCUCCAUUUUGCACUGUCAAAUCUUCACCAGUCGGAGAUAUGUUGUUCCCCAUAAUUAAACACACCACCUCACCGUUCAGAUCAUCGAAUGAAGUCACGAAGCUUUGAACCCAAACAGAGUCAGGGGCUUCCACCACUAACACCGUAUUUUUUUGUUUUCUUUUUUUCAUUUCAGACCACUUUUUUAAAUAUAUCGAUGCCGAUUGACACACCGAUGACACCAUUAAAAAAAUAUUUUUUUGUUCUCUAGUAUACCUACAUUUUCUCAUGUAUUUUUUACAAAAUACAUAUGAUGCCACUUGACACAGUGACAGUACCAAAAAAUAUAUAUUUUUUAAAAAGCUCAUGAUUGUUUGAUAUUUUUUUUAAAUAAACAGCCCAUUUUCGUAAAUAAUUUUCCCUUAACCCAUUUUCGUAACUACUUUUUUAUAUUAUUUUUGUAAAUAAAUCGUUAAUUGGACACUUAAUUGUAUUAUUUUGAGAUUUUUUACCCCCAAUAAUACAAAAAAAACAAUUUAAUAACUUAAAUGGUAUGUCCACCAAAUUAUUUACCAAAAUGGUAUGGCUUGAAUAAUAACCCCAAGUGGUGCUUGAGAAGGAGGCGACACCACCUAACUUUAUCCUUAAAAUCAUGACGCCAUCAUUAGGCCAUUAUAAGGUUAUAAAAAAAUAUUUUAUUGGUGGUGUCACCCUAUACGGCGGCAUCAGUAUGAAGAAUAAUUGGGUAAAAUACGGGGAAUAUACAUGUUUUAAAAUUUUGUUUUUAAUGGGUAGACGGGGAAAGUCAAGUGACACCAUUGUUUGUACAAAAAUUAGUAAAUCGAGACUGAUAAGCAUGAAAAAUGGGAGUCAAAAGGGGAGAUUUCAAGCCUAAGAAAGUCGAAAAAUGGGUGACCCCAUGAUUCCGUGAUUGUUCAGUCAUGUUCGCCAUAAGCAGUCAAACCAGUGUCGCCUGACUCAAAUAUUUGUGUUAUGUCCCUAUUUUUGUAUUCCUCUUAACCCACUAUAUUUAACAUGGUAAGUUAUCGGGUUUAUAAAACAGACAUUUUAAAAACACUUGUUUAUUUUUAAUUGAAAAAAAACUUAGUCUAUUUUUGAAAAACUUAAGAGUUAAAAGAAAACCAUUUAAAGUCGCAAACUUAUGUAUAAAAGUUUACCUUGUUGAAAAAGUUCCAAAAUAAAAUUUUGGUUGUGAUAUCUAAAGUAAUAAAUACUUAAUCAAAAUUGUAUAUUUUCGAUUCGUCUAGGAUGAGCGCUUCGACCGAGUAAUAUUCUCUUCUAUCCUCAAGCUCACGUCUGCCGAGUGUGGGCUCGCUUUGAAUAAAAAAAUUUACAAAAAUUAUCAGUGGGGUAAUUUCGUAAUUUCUCUAAACUUUUGGGUCAAGUUGUAAAUUAGAAAAAUCUCACUAGAAAUUUUCUAGAAUAAUCUCCCUUGAGAAUUUUCUCUCUACAACUUUCUCUUAAAUUUAAGUGUGUCAAAUUGUAAUGCCCUAAAAAAUUUGAGUGUUUGAUUGUUAGAUUCUGUCGUAAUUAAUUUUUUAUCUCUAUAACUACGUGCUCUAUUAAUUGGUGUCACCCUUCCCACGGGCAUCACCACCCAAACUCGUAUUUAACCCAUGAAAUCGUAUGGGAAAAAUAUUUUGGUGUUGCCUAUCAACAAGGUUGCAUCAUUUAAAAUUUGUUUUUUUUAACUGUCAGCUGUUUCUGUCAAAAUUUAGGAGUGGUGCCGCAUAUGCAUCUCCCUCCACCAUCCCAAACACAUCAUUUCCAUAAUUAAUCGUGGUGGUGUACCAUUUUAAAUAUUUUUAUAUUAUAUAUGUAAAAAAAAAAACUCACCUAUCUCUCUCUCUCCACCCCACUUGUCACAUUACAACUCCCCAUAAAUUUAUUUUGUAUUAAAUGAUUGUAUAUGAUCAGGCAAAGGCGCGUUGACGUGAACACAAUUUUUUGAAAAUUUACAAGAAUAAGUCUAUAUAAAGACCCAAUGUGACUACAUUUUUUUGUGUAUGUGCCACCAAUUAAUAUGGAAAUAAAACUUACAAACAGAUCUUUAUGUAGACUCAAAGUCUUAUUUACCUUGUUUUCUUAAACAAUGUGAGAUGUAAGAUAUGUGUUUAUAUAGAUUUAUGAAUAAGUUUGCAGCUUGUUCCUAGACAAUGUGGGAUUCCUUCCUUUUUUUUUUUAACUAACAACAUAAUGCUACACUAUAUUUUAUAUUUUUUAACAAAAAAAUUUCUAUUCUUUUUAUAUUUUGUUAAACUUUUCUCAUAUUAUAAAAUUACCUUUUGAGGUUUUUAAUUCUGUUGCAUUUUAGAAUUGUUAGCAUAUACAAAAUGACCACAAUAAAAAAAGAAAAAGUAAUACAAAUUGCACAUAUGAAACCUGUACAUGCAAUAAUGUUCUAUUUAAUUUUAAAUGUUUGAAGUUAAUAUUUAUGCAAUUCUAUUUUUUAAAAUAAUUUUCCAUUAUUUCAAUUUAGAAGUUAUACAUAAAAUAUAAUAAUUAUUUUUCAUAUUUUUAUAUCUAGAUUAAAUUACAUUAGUACUCACUUAACUAUGAUUUUUUUACUAUUGAAUUAUAAAAACUUACAAAAUGAUCACUCAACCAUUAGUAUUUUUUUUUGGUCACCCAAUUAUCUUGAAUUUUGAGGUAUGUAGCCAAAAAAAAAAGAAGAAGAAGAAAAAUUUGAAUAAUUGAAUGACAAUUUUAUAACUUUUCAUAAACAGAUAAUUCAAAAAAACAUAAUUAAAUGACUAUUUUAUAACAUUUUAAAAUUAAGUGAUAAAUUUUUUUUAAAUAUUUUACUAUGCUCAUUAGUUUUUUAAUCCUAAAAAAUUUUUAAAGAAGAAAAGAGAUCAAUUUUUUAAAAUUAUAAAAAAAUAUACUAUCUGAGUACCAAACGAUUCUAAAAUGCAAUAAGAUUAAACAUCUCAAAAGAUAAUUUUAUAAUAUAAGAAAAUAUUAACAAAAUAGAAAAAAAUAGAAAUUAUUAACAUUUUGUUAAAAAAAUUGUAUUAUGACACGACAAAGGUACCUGGUGUCGGCCAUCUAUUAGCCGGCACAAAAAAAAUAAUACAUAUGUGGUGCUCGCCAUUACAUGUGAUUUUUAAGUAUAUAUAUAUAUGAAGGUGAGAGAAAAUAGCAAAGUGUGUGUUUUAAUUUUAUUUUUAAUAUAUAAUUACUUAUAUAACUCUAUUGAUAUUUUACUUUUAUUUAUUUGAUAUAUUAAGUAUUUGAUUAAAUUGAUGUCAUAAGUUAAUUGAGAUUUUUUUUGCAAAAAUAAUAUAAAAAUAAUUAAUUAGAAAAAUAGGUUAGAGAAAAAUUAUUUACGAAAAUCUAUUGUUUUGAAUAAUCUUUGUCAGUACCACUUGACACACCGACGACACCACCCCAUUUUCCCAAUUCAUCAAACAAUUAUAAGUUUUUUUUUAAUUGUUCCGCCAUAAUGUUAGGCAUUAUCGGUAGGUAUGUUUUAAAAAAUACCUAAGAAAAUACAAGUACACCGAGAAAUAAAAAAUAUUUUUUAAUGAGUGUCGCUUGAUAGCCUAACGGCACCACUUUAAUUGUUUUUUAAAAAAUUACGUCUUGCUUUGAGUACUUUUAAUGCUUUUAUUUUGUUAUUCAAAUUUUCAUGUCAAAAUCCAGCUCAAUUAAAUUUUGACAGGCAACUUUAAUAGGAUUAAAAUUGUGGGCAUCAUAACUUUCUUUCCUUUUAUUUUUUUUCUUUCUUUUUCUUUUCAUGUUGAAUGCUUCUAUUUUUUAUUUUAUUUUAUUGUUUUCAUUUUUCUCCUUAAUUGGAAACCUAACUGACAUACACAAUAGCCACCGAUUUUGAUGUUUAUUGUGGCCUUUUGUGUCAAUUUCAACAUCAAAGAAGAGAUUUUCUCCUUUUCAUUGACUUCUACCGUGUAGAUCUCCCACUAGCCGAAUUUAAAUCUUCUAAAAUAAUGACCAAAGCUUCAAACUACAUUUUCUUCAAUCUCCAUUUUGCACUGUUGAAUCUUCACUAGUCGGAGAUAUAUUGUUCCCCAUAGACAUAAACCGUCCAUUUUCGUAAAUAAUUAUCUCUUGACCCAAUUUCGUAACUACUUUUUUAUAUUAUUUUUGUAAAUAAACCGUUAAUUGGACACUUAAUUGUAUUAUUUUAGGAUUUUUACCCCAAUUAAUACAAAAAAAAACAAUUUAAUAACUUAAAUGGUAUUCCUACCAAAUUAUUUACCAAAAUGGUAUGGUUUAAAUAGUAACCUUAGGUGGUGCUUGAGAAGGUGGUGACACCACCUAACUUUAUCCCUAAAACCAUGACGCCAUCAUUAGGCCAUUAUAAGGUUAUAAAAAAACAAAUAUUUUAUUGGUGGUGUAACACCCCUUACCCGUAUCUGACGUCAGGACAGGGUACAAGGCAUUACCGGACUUAAACACAGUACAAGGCAUUACCGGACUUAAACACACUUAAACAUCUUAAAUUAGACUCUAAAGUUUCAUUCCAAUUUAAAAUUUUUUCAUUCAUAUUCAUAACAUCCCUAUCAUGGGCCUACGAGACCUUAAACAUACUUUGGAAGUGGUUCGGGAUUGAGCCAAAAAUUUUCGAGUACUUAGAAAAUUUUUACUUAAAUUAGGGUCACAUGCCCAUGUGACCUGGUACACGCCCGUGUCGGCAAGCCGUAUGGUCGCACACACCUAUGUCCCUAGCCCCCAUGGAAUUGUUCUCAUUUCAAACCUACAGGAGUUUUCACACGACUAGGCACACACCCGUGUCUAUGGCCCGUGCCCCUCACACGGCCAUGACACGCCCAUGUCCUCCACCAGUGUAACUCUCUGUUUAUGACGUCAUCACCCAAGAUGGGGCACACGCCCGUGGGGCGGACCGUGUGUCACACACAGCCUAGACAAAUGCCCGUGUGUCUACCCAUGUGGAAAAAUAUAAGGCUAUUUACCAAGCCUUUUGCCACCCUAGAACAUAAUCAAACAUAAACCAAUUCCACCAACUUAUAACAAGGCAUAAACACACAUUCAGACUACCACAAGCAAGACUACACAAAUUCAUCCCACAUUCAUCAUGCAUAUAUAUCAUACCAUUUCCACUUAAACAUGUAAGCUUGCACAUGAUGAAUUUCAUCAUAUUGAUCAAAUAUAACUUAACCAAUAUUGGCCCAUUUCCAAUGGCCAUAUACAAAAUGAAUUUAGUACCACUACUAGCCAACACAUUGGCUAACCAAUAUGUCAUUUAACAAAUUCACCAAGUUCCUAUAGAUGUCAUACUCAAAAUGAUAAACUAUACUAUAACAAAAGAAUGGCUUGAUAGUAUGAAUCAAGCUCCGACAUCCUUCGAUCCCCGAGUUAGCUUGGCGAAACUACAAGGAAAGGAAAAGAAAUGGGGUAAGCAUAAAUGCUUAGUAAGCUUGCAUACAAUAAAUAUUAACACAAAACUAGGAAUAACAUUCACAUAAUUGGCAAGCACUCAUAAACCUGGCUUACUCAUGCUCUUCCUUACAGAUAACACAUAUUUUAUUGGGCUCAUUUGUCGUAAAUUUCUCAUGAGUACCUGUAUCACUCAUCACAUAACUUUAAUCUUUCUCGUCAUUAAACAUUAACUGUAAUUCUUUUCCUCGUUGGAUUACUUAGAAUACCGAAGGAUACUCAGAAUGUCAUUCACAUAAUAAGAUGCCAAUACCAUAUCCCGGAUAUGGUCUUACAUAGGAUCACAUGCCGAUGUCAUGUCCCAGAGAUAGUUUUAUACGGGAUCUCCUCUCGAUGUCGAUGCUAUAUCUUAGAUAUGGUCUUAUACGAGAUCGUACAUCGAUGUCGAUGCCAUAUCCCAAACAUGGUCUUACACGAGAUCGUAUAUCGAUGCCGAUGCCAGGUUCCAGACAUGGUUUUAUACGGGAUCACUAUUCAAUACCGAUACCGAUGUCAUAUCCUAGAUAUGGUCUUACACGGGAUCUUAACUCUGUGCCAAUGCCAAAUCCCAGAUAUGGUAUUAUACGGGACCUUCUCAGUCUCAUGUCAUGACAAUGGUAUCCUUCGUAUUCCUAAACUUAAUUGGGAUUCCGAUUCAACAUAAUUUCAUCGUUUCUUUAUCAAUAUCUCAUCAAAAAAAUUCAUGGAAAUAACAUACAUUUCAUGUCAUAACAAAACAUUAAAUGCAUGAUAACAUAGUAUUAAUUUAUUACACACAAACUUACCUCGGAUCCAAAAUAUGUGUGAAUAUUUAAUUUAGUCCACCACUUUGUUCUUUCCCCAGUUUCGAUUCAGACUUCGUGUUUCUUGAUCUAUAAUGACAAAUUUCACUUAUUUAAUAAUCAAAUUGACCAAAACAGUCCAUAUUUCAAACUUUAGAAAAAUUAUAAUUUUACCCCUAAACUUUCACAUAUUUGCAAAAUGGUCCCUAGGCUCGUAUGAUGAAAUGUACUCGAUUUCUUGGUUACCCAAGCCUAGACAAACAUUAUAUGCACUCAUAAUAGACCAGAUUUCUCAUCAAAUCAGAUUUUUACCACUACUUUUACAACUUUUACAUUUUGGUCCUUUUCAUGAAUUUCCAUGAAAAGUCACUUAGAGAAGAUGUUUAUCAUUCAUCAAACUUCCAUAUUCUUUCAUUAAACAUCAAAAUACAUGCAUGUCAUGCAUGGAUAUAUUUUUUAACAUGAACCCUAGCUUAAAAUAUGGAUAUAAAUAGCUAGUUCGGUUGAUAACGAUUUCAAAAAUACGAAGAACAUUUAAAACGGGGCUAGAUUGCACUUACUUGUGAGCUUGGGAAUGAACAAAACCCUAGCUAUGGAGACUUAGGGAUUUUCGGAAUACUUGGAGAAGAAGAUGAACACAUUUUUGCUUCUUUUUCCCUUUUUAUUUCAUUAAUUAACCAAAUGACCAAAAUGCCCUUAUGGCAUUUCGUUGAAAUUUUAUCCUUGUCCAUCAUGCCAUAAAAUGGUCUAAUUGCUAUAUAAGGACCUCCAAUCAUUUUUCUAAUGCUAUUUCAUCCUUAAAACUUCUAAAAACUCAUAUUUUGCAAUUUUUGCAAUCUACUCUUAAAGGACAAAUUAAUCACCUAUUCACAAAAUUUCUUCAUGAAAUUUUCACACAACCAUGCAAUCACAUCAUAGACCUUAAAUAAAUUAUAAAACAUAUAUUUUUGUAUCGGAUAUGUGGUCUCGCAACCACUAUUCCAACUAGGCCCUAAUUCGGGCUGUUAUAGGUGGUAUCACUCUAUAUGGCGACAUCAGUAUGAAGAAUAACUGGGUAAAAUACGGGGAAAGUCAAGUGACACCAUUGUUUACAAAAAAUAGUAAAUCGGGACUGAGAAGCAUGGAAAAUAGGAGUCAAAAGGGGAGAUUUCAAGCCUAAGAAAGAAGAAAAAUGGGUGACCUCGUGAUUCCGUGAUUGUUCGGUCAUGUUCGCCAUAGACAGUCAAACCGGUGCCUUUUGACUCAAAAUUUUGUGUUAUGUCCCUAUUUUUGUAUUCCUCUUAACCCACUAUAUAUAACAUGGUAAGCUAUCGGGUUUAUAAAACAGACAUUUUAAAAACACUCGUUUAUUUUUAAUUGAAAAAAACUUUGUCUAUUUCUGAAAAACUUAAGAGUUAAAAGAAAACCAUUUAAAGUCGUAAACUUAUGUACAUAAGUUUACCUUGUUGGAAAAGCGGUUUGAAAAAUGCAGUUGAAAAUAAAUUUAGGGAAAAACCAAAGUUUUAAAAGUUUUCCAAAACAAAAUUUUGGUUGUGAUAUCUAAUGUAAUAAAUACUUAAUCAAAAUUGUACAUUUUCGAUUCGUCUAGGAUGAGAACUUCGACCAAGUAAUCUUUUCUACUAUCCUCAAGCUCACAUCUGCCGAAUGUGGGCUUACUUCGAAUAAAGAAUUCACAAAAAGUUACCAGUGGGUAAUUUCGUAAUUGCUCUAAACUUUUGGGUAAAGUUGUAAAUCAGAAAAAUAUCUCUAGAAAUUUUCUAGAAUAAUCUCCUCAGAGAAUUUUUUCUCUACAAUUUUCUCUUCAACUUUCUCUUGAAUUCAAGUGUGUCAAAUUGUAACGCCCUAAAAAAUUUGAGUGUUUGAUUGUUGGAUUCUAUCGUAAUUAAUUUUUUAUCUCUAUGACUAUAUGCUCUAUUAAUGUGUUUGUGCUCUGUUAAUUGGUGUUGCCUUUCCCACGAGCACCACCACCCAAACCCGUAUUUAACCCAUGUAAUUGUAUGGGGAAAAUAUUUUGGUGUUGCCUAUCAACAAGGUUGCACCAUUUAAAAUUUGUUUUUUUUAACUGUCCGUUGUUUGUGUCAAAAUUUAGGGGUGGUGUCGUCUAUGCAUCACCCUCCACCACCCCAAGCAUCUCAUUUUCGUAAUUAAUCAAGGUGGUGUACUAUUUUAGAUAUUUGUAUAUUUCUUUAUAUUAUAUAUGUAAAAAAAAAACCUUGCCUAUCUCUCUCCCUCCACCUCACCUGCAACAUUACAACUGCCCAUAAAUUUAUUUUGUAUUAAACGACCAAACAUGUUUUUUUAUCAGGUUUUUUAUAACAUGAAUACUGGUGUAGCCUCUCUCACAUCCUCCAUCUUUAAAGUAUAUAUAUUUUACCCCAUAUCAUUUUGUAAUGAUGUUUUGAUGAAUAAGUUAGAAAAAAAUGGUGCCACAUCUUCCAUACUCUCUAUCCCAACACUGUUGCAAAUAUACCAUUUUGGUAAAUAAGUGUAUUGGCAUGCGAUUAUGGUAUUUAAUUGUUUAUUCUAUAUUAUCCAGGUAAAAAAGCCACAAUAUUAUUUAAUUACAUGAAUAAUAAUUUUGAUUUUUAACUUUAGAAAACAUAAACAUUUAUUAAAAUGACGUAAUAACUCGAAUUGUGUAUUUCAUAUUUAAGUUAAACUGAAAAUUUUGAUUUUUUAUUCAAGCUGAUCCGAAUAAUUUAAAUAACUCAAAUAAUUUAAUUCAAAAUUUAAAUUUUUAUUAAAUUUUUUAAUCAAUUCGAAUUUUACUCAUCCCUAAAUUAUAAUAUAAAAAAUAAACUCUUAUAUUAGCAAGGGCUUCAAAUGAAGUUGGGCAAUACUAUAUGGGGCAUAGUACCUUGGCAUAGUACCAAUAAAGGUUGAUUUCCAAUAUUAUUUAUGGAAAUGAGUUGCUUUUAAAAAUAAUUACAGGUAUGAAUUGAAAAUCAAAAAAUGAGCUAAUGAGGACACGUUUUUCCUCAUGUCAAGCAAAAGCACACUGACAUGGAUAUAUUUUUAAAAAAAAUCGACCAUAAUAAAAAAAAGAAAAAGAAGUACAAAUUGCACGUAUGAAACUUGUACAUGCAAUAAUCUUCUAUUCAAUUUCAAAUGUUUGAAGUUAAUAUUAAUGCAAUUCUAUUUUUUAAAAUAAUUUUCCAUUAUUUCAAUUUAGAAGUUAUACAUAAAAUAUAAUAAUUAUUUUUCAUAUUUUUAUAUCUAGAUUAAAUUACAUUAGUACUCACUUAACUAUGAUUUUUUUACUAUUGAAUUAUAAAAACUUACAAAAUGAUCACUCAACUAUUAGUUUUUUUUUGUCACCCAAUUAUCUUGAAUUUUAAGGUAUGUAGAAAAAAAGAAGAAGACAAAUUUGAAUAAUUGAAUGACAAUUUUGUAACUUUUCAUAAACAGAUGAUUAAAAAACAUAAUUAAAUGACUAUUUUACAACAUUUUAUAAUUAAGUGAUAAUUUUUUAAAAAAUAUUUUACUAUACUCAUUAAUUUUUUAAUCCUAAAAAAUUUUUAAAAAAAAGAGAUAUCAAUUUUUUAAAAUUACAAAAAAAAAUACACGGAGUACGAAACAAUUCUAAAAUGCAACAAUAUUAAACAGCUCAAAAAAUAAUUUUAUAAUAUGACAAAAUGUUAAAAAAAUAUAAAAAAUAGAAAUUAUUUUGUAAAAAUGUAUAAAAUAUAAUGGAGCCUUUAAUCUUAUAUUGUUAGUUAAAACAUGAUGGAGUCUUAUAUUGUCUAGGAAUAAGCUGCAAACAUAUUCAUGAGUCUAUAUAUACACAUAUCUCACAUUCUAUAUUACUUAAUAAAAUAAUAGAAAUGACACUAUGGGUUUAUAUAAAAUUCUAUUUUGUAAAUUUUAUUUUUCACAUUAAUUAGUGGCACCAAAAAAUUUAAAAGAACAGUGUUAUCACUUUGGAUUUCAUAAAUUUAAAAUAAACUUAUUUAUUUUGUAAUAUUUUAAAAAAAUAACCUUUAUUAAAAAUUUAGCUUGACGUACAUCUAUCAAUAUAUUUUUAAAUUUUCGAUCGAUACUAAUAAUUAUUUUUACAGUCAUUUAUUUCUGUAAAUAAUCUUAGAAAUUCACCAUUAUUGGUACCAUGCCCUACUAUCUAAGUGGAAAGUGACGCGGGUGGGCACUUGAAUGGAUGCGUCGAGCAGGUCUGCAAGUCCUUACAAAUUGCACACUGUCCAAUUUAAAUAAUUGAGAUAAUGAAGCUUUUCAUUUUCAUUUUCUUUAUAUUUUCAUUUUAGUAUUUCUUUAUAUUAAAAAAUAUCAUUCCAUCCCACUGCCUCCUUAUAAAAGAAAAAGAAGAGUGGCAGCCUACUUACAAAGCCAUCCUUGUAUAAUAUAGUAUUUGCACUCAAUAGCCUGUCUCUCAUGGAAUCCCAUAUUGAGAAACAAAAUAGAGAUGUGCUUCAAAAAUCUUUCAAAGAGAUGAUAUCUACUCUCCCUAAAAAGAAUUGUUGGGGUAUUCCUGAAGCUCUAUAUCAAUAUCAGGGUUUUUGGCUCACCCCCCCUUUUCUACAAGGAGCAUUAUCGGCUCAACAACAAUUCCAGGCUCAACCCACUGAUAUCAUCCUUUGUAGCUCUCCAAGAACAGGUGCAGCCUGGUUAAAAUCCCUCACUUUCGCCACUAUUACAAGAACUUCAUACAAUGAUUCCACCACCCCUUUACUUUCCAAGAUGCCUCAUGAUGUUGUGCCUUUCAUGGAGUUCGAUCAUGCCCAGUUUUCCACUAAUCGACAUCUUGAAAUUCCUCUUUUAGCCACUCAUCUUCCUUAUUCCUUCUUACCCAGAUCUAUAAUUGAUUCUGGUUGUAAACUUAUUUACAUUUGCAGGGACCCCAAAGAUACAUUUGUUUCAUUGCAUCAUUUCAUUGCAAGGUACAACAAAUCCCAAAAUACUCAACCCGUUCAACUUGAUGAAGCGUUCGAAUUGUUUUAUGAAGGUGUAAAUUGGUAUGGGCCUUAUUGGGACCAUGUUCUGGGGUACUGGAAAGCAAGUUUGGAACAUCCAGACAAGUUACUAUUCUUGAAAUAUGAAGAACUGAUUGAAGAUACUGUUUUGUAUCUUAAGAAAAUAGCAGAAUUUAUGGGUUAUCCUUUCUCGUCAGAGGAACAACAACAAGGGGUGCCUGAAAACAUUGUACAGCUGUGCAGUUUCGAGAAUUUAAAUGGCUUGGAAGUAAAUAAAACUGGGAAACAUCGUGACGGGCAAGGAGAUUUGGCGAUGGAAAAUAACAUUUUCUUCCGGAAAGGGAAGGUUGGAGACUGGAAGAAUUAUUUGACAACUGAAAUGGCUCGACGUUUAGACCAACGAACACUGGAAAAGUUUCGCGGUUCAGGUUUAAGUGUCUAACUGAAGGUCCACAAUCUAUUUAUCAGAGAUCAGAAUUGGUAAUUAUACCUUUUAAUAAUAUUAUCUUCAAAUAAGGUCAUCUUGAUCAAGAUUUGUAAUUAUCCCAUUUAGUAAUAUUGAUGGGGAUUGAUUUAUUGUACUAUUCCUCCGAUCUUUAGUUGGAGCUCGUUAGUAGAAUCUUAUCAGUUAAAUGAUUAUUUCUUAAAUCUUUAGUUAGAGCUUGUUAGUAGAAUUUUAUCAAUUAAAUGACUUAAAUAAAUAAAAGCUUUUAAAUAAUUUAAUAAUUUAAAUAAAAUUUUUUAAAUAAUUUAAUGACUAUUUUUCGGUCGAAUCAAACCUGUUGAUAAUAAAUAGGGACCCACUUGUGGGUUGUGUCUCGUAAGAGAUAAGAUGAACUUACUAAUUGACCAAUAAUUUUGUGCCAUGUCAUCAUCAUUACACAAAAGUUAACAAUUUUAUCCUAAACAAAUAUUUCUCAUAAAAUGAUUCUACAAACACAAAAAAUGUGUCUUUUUAGGUGUAUUGGUAUAAUUUUGGUCAAUUUUAUUUUAGCCCCCAUAUUAUGUGUAAAUUGCAUAUUUAAUCCUUAUAGUUUAACUUAGUUUAUUUUUCUACGUGUUUUUUGAAUUUUAAAAUUUUAGUCUUAGCUCAAAUUAUACUAGUUAAAUUUAUUAGUAGUCUCAUAUUAUCCAUAAGUUGUUGAUUUUCUUCAAUUACAUUAUUUUUAGUCUCUAUACUUCUUGAAUUUUGAAAUUUUAGUUUAGUAGCUGUUAAUUGCGGAUCAUGGGAUUAAUUUUUUUUGGGAGGCUACUUAAAAUUUUCAAAAUAAUAGGAGUUUAAUAAGGUUUUUUUAAAAUGGGAUCUAAUUAAAUUUUUUUAAAAAAAUAUUGUGAGUUUAAUGAGAAAUUCUAGAAAUUUUAAGAGAGUUUAGUUUAAAUUAAAAAAAAGGCAUAAUGGGAUUUUUUUUAACUUAGGGGACCUAGUUAGAAUUUUCAAAAAAACUAGUUUAAUAUGAAUUUUUUAAAAAAAUUAGGGGUCUAGUUAGUAUUUUUAAAAAUUAUGAUUUUACGUAACUUUUAAAAAGCUUAAUUGAAAUCUUUUAAAAAAAUAAAUGAAAUUUUUCAAUAAUUUGAGAGGGGGCAAUGGCCCAAGGCUCUCCUCGGCCAUCAUUACCAAUUGCCGUUGGUGGUCGUUACAUCUAUUAACUAAAAUAAAAUAGUUUUUUGUUAGCUUUGGAAAUAACAAGAUUCAACUUAACGAUUUAACAAUUAUUAUUUGGGUCAAAAUUGAAAUUUCAAAAUUUGAAACAUAUAAAAUUAAAAAUAAUCAAAUUAAAAUACAUAAAUUAAUUCCACAACUUACUCAUAAUACAAAAAUUAAUAACUAAAAUUUAAAUUUUUUUUCCAUUGAUAUCUUGAAUACCUAUUUAUAAUAACACAUUAAAUAUUUUUAAGAAGCUAUGGUGAUUUAAUUUACAAGGAUCUGUUAAGACUUGAUUAGCUAUAUACAAAAUUUCAUAAAUAAAUAUGCAUUAUAAAAUUUUAAAAAUAAUGUAAAAAAACGUUUUUAUUUACUUAAAUGUUGUAAUUUUUUAUAUUUAUUUUAACGCUUUUUUUCCAAAAAUUAUUUUUCACAAUGCAAAUAUUUUAAUACUCGUAUAUUCAAUUCCGAAAUUAUAAUUUUUUUACUAGAAAAUUUAUUUAUCCGUUGUCUAAUUAAGAGAAAGGAUUGUAUGAAACAGUGACGCCACGUCAUUUGUACCAAUUUCCAAUAGUUUUAUGCCGCAUCAGCAUUAUCAUCCUAAAUUUCAGCAUUUUCAUCUUGAAAAAAAUCAAAUCUAAAUUAAAAUGCUGAAAUUUAGGAUGAUAAUGCUGAUGCGGCAUAAAACUAUUGGAAAUGGGUACAAAUGAUGUGGCGUCAUUAUUUUAUACAAUCCUUUUCCAUCUAAUUAAUAAGUGGUAUUAUGAAAGUAUGUGAGGAUUUUUCUACUUAAAUAAUAUAAAAAAUAAUUAUUUAUAGAUAUGGGAUAAUUUAAUCAUUAUUUACAAAAUGAGGUAAAAGCAACCGUUGAUAAUCGGUGUCACUUGAGUAAUCGAUAAAAUUACACUCACCUGGCAACAAUCAUUAGGUCAUUGGUUAGAUUUUUAAAAAAAUUAAUUUUUUUGUGUUGCCUGAGUGAUUGGCGAUAUCAAUAUGUAUUAGCCAAAAAAAUACAAGUAUUUUUGUACGAACAAAAAAAUAUAACUUUUUAAUUGUGUCACUAACGUGUCAGGAAUCACCAGUAUAUAUUAAUAUUUAAUUACAUUUUUUAAAUUAAUUGAAACAAAUGAAAAGAAGCUUGAAAAUCGAAAAUUAGAUAGAACCUGUGAAUGAUCGGUCAUGUCGGUGCAAGUCGUCAGGCCGGUGUCGUUGUGCUCACCUGACCCCUACGUAAACGGUAAAAUAAAAAAUCCCCAUUCACAACAAAAAAAGGAGUUAGGAUAAAAAAUUAAAUUCCUUAUACUUUCAAAAAUCACAGUAUUUCUCUAAUAUUAUACAAGUGGAUCCAUUCAAUAUAACUCUAUUAAAAAAUUAAAUUUUUAAUGUAGAUUACUGACUUGACAUGUUAGUAGCGCCAAACACUUUAAUUUCACCAACUUUUACAGUAGAUUUUGAGUUAUUUUCUUAUUUUAUCAAAAAAAUAAAUUAUUUAAAUAAUUAAUUUUAUAAAAAAAUCGGAUAGCAAGCUUUCGCAAAAAGUAAUGAUUUUUUUUUAAAAUUAUUAUUAUUUGUGAAACUUAGAAAAUAUAUAUAUAAAGAAUAAGUGAGGUCAGAAAAAAGUUACUUUAAUGAUUAUUCAUACAAUACAUUUAAUAAAUGUGCUUUUUAAAUAUAUAUUUAUGAAAGAGAAAAUAGCAAAGUGUGUGUUUUAAUUUUAUUUUUAAUAUGUAAUUGCUUAUAUAACUCUAUUGAUAUUUUACUUUUAUUUAUUUGAUAUAUUAAGUAUUUGAUUAAAUUGAUGUCAUAAGUUAAUUGAGAUUUUUUACAAAAAAUAAUAUAAAAAUAAUUAAUUAAAAAAAUAGGUUAGAGAAAAAUUAUUUACGAGAAUGUAUUAUUUUAAAUAAUCCCUGUCAGUGCCACUUGACACACCAACGACACCACCCUAUUUUUCCAAUUCAGCAAACAAUUAUAAGUUUUUUUUAAAAUUGUAUUAAAAAAAAUUUAUUUAAUAAAAUAUUAUUAAUUUUUUUAAAAUUUAUAUUAAUAUACAGAUAAAAAUACAAAUUUUAUAAGGAUAAAAAAUAUUCGAAAUAGGUCGCGCCUGUCAGAUAGGCACGACAUGAGGCGCAACACUGCUGCUCAUGACCUGCUGCUCUGCUCCGGUCGGCUGCUCCGUGCCUGUGCCACCACCCUCCCUCCCCAAUUGUUUUCUUUCCCUCAUGCAUGCAUUAGUCAUGUCAUGGGGUGGGAGAAAAAAAUCAAAAUGGGGGACCUUAUAAGCCGCGAUCCCCCCAAUUAAAAAUCAAGUUUGUGUUUCAGCAGCAUGUAGGCCACCAAAAGAGAGAAAGAAAGGAGAGAAGAGAGAAGACAAAAAGAAGAAGAAGAAGAAAUGAAAAAAAAAAUGUAUUAUUUUAGUAAAUAAAAUUAUUUUGUAUAAAACUUAAAGAGUUUAAUUAAAAGAUGUUGUGAAAUUUUUUUGUUAUUAUUUAUAAAUUGUUUAUAAUUAUUUUAAAAUUAAAUUGUUAGUAAUUUAGGACUAUAUUAUAAAUUUUUGUGUUUGUAAUUAUUUUAAAAUUAAUUUAUUAGUAAUUUAGGAUUAUGUUAUAAAUUGUUGUGUUUAGUUUAGUAAUGUAAACUUAUUUUGUUAAAUAUUUUGUUAGUAAUUUAUUAUAAAAUUGUUGUGUUUUGUGAGUUUUUAGUAAUUUAAAUUUUUUUAAAAAAUAAUUGUAUAGUUAUUUUUUUAGUAGUUUAUGAUUAGGUUAUAAAUUAUUAGUGUUUUGUAUUUUGUUAUAGUUAUUUAUUUUGUUAAUAAUUUAUGGGAUUAGGUUACAAAUUGUUAGUGUUUAGUGGUUUAGGGUAUUACAGUUUUUUAGUAAUGUAUUUAAAAAAAAAAUUUAUAGUUAUUUUCUUAAUAAUUUAUGAUUAGGUUAUAUAAAUCUUUAGUGUUUAGUGGUUUAGUGUAUUAUGUUAUUUUUUAGUGUUUUUUUUUUUUGUUAUUUAAUGUUUUUUAUAAUGUAAUUUUAUAUUAUUAUAUAUUUAUUUGAUAAUUUUUAUUGAUUUAUUAAAAUGUUGAUUAAAUUUGUUGUUAUAUAAUUAUAUAGGUUGUUUGAAAGAAACUAAUUAGGUAUGUUUCUAUUUCUAUUAUUUGUAAUUCGUAUGUUUUUUAUAUUUAGAUAGUUUAUAUUUAUUUUAAUUAUAUUAUUAUUGUAGUCUAACAUAAUUUUUUUUAUUGUACGUAAAUGAUGGGGAAUUAUGAGAUAUUUAUCGUGUUUUGUUUCUAAAAUUUUGAAAUAAUUUAUUAUAUUUUUUGAAAUAAAUUAAAUAAAUUUAUUUUUUUAAUUGCAGAUCUGCAACAAAUGGGUUCGUUGAUUGAUAAUAAAAAUCACAUAUCAAGUACCAUUAAUGUGAUAGUAAUGAAAUUUUUAUUUGGUAGUCAUGUUAUUUGUUGAAUUAAAUUAUAUUGUAUUACCUAUUUUGUUAAUAUAAUAAUGUCAAGGUUUGUAUCGCGUAUUGAGGGGCCAUGUUAAUAGUGUAGGGUUUCAGCCAGAUGAACGCCUAAUACUGUUCAUGGAGUUAGCCGAGUUCGGAUCAGCAGCAUUGAUCUGGACUUUUGAUCUGCGAUAGGACUUGAUUUCCACUUUAGUCGAGCGAUGGCGUCCGAAGACCCACACAUUUCUUUUUUCGUGCGGGGAGUGCACCAUCACUCUAGAGGACGUUGCACUAUAGCUGGGGCUCCCCAUCGACGGGAACGCUGUCACGAGCAUAAGUUAACGACUCCACUUUAAUUGUUUUUAAAAAAAUUACGUUUUGGGUUGAGCAUAAGGUAAUGUAUUAUUUUAGUAAAUAAAAUUAUUUUACAUAAAAUUUAAAGAGUUUAAUUAAAAGAUGUUGUGAAUUUUUUUUGACAUUUUAUUUAUGAAUUUGAGGGCGAAUUUUGGAAUUGCUUAGGUUGAAGUACAUAAUAGAAAGAAAAAAAAAGAGAGAAGGAGUAUUAAAAACAAUCAAUUUUAAAAUACUUAAAAAUUAAAGAGACGGGACUUUUUCUUUCAUCAUGCAAUGAACAACAUGUAAUGGACAACAUCUCAAUUUCUAUCCGAUUGUGAGGAUUGUCUAAUAUGGUAGUUUCGGAGCGGGAAUUUACUCCAAUUAUGACCGAUUAAUCUGCAUACUUCAUACAGCUUCCCGUCAGAUUUCUCUCUAAUGUCCAUUUCGUUACGGAUUCUGGAUGAUUGCGGACGACCUUUCGGGUUCCUACGCAACCCUUUGUCUGGGAUAAGCUCGAAGGUCGUCCGAGGAACCUCUCAAGUAAAUAAGUAAGGAAGCACGGGAAACUUAUUCUCCCAUACACGCAACAUGUGUUCAAGGGUGUACACUUCAUCGAUAAAUUGAUCUACAUUGAACGAGACUUUAGCACAAGUUGCCACGACAUAUGCACAAGGAUAAUAAAGUGUCUGGAACCUCCUGCAAUCGCACCCUCUAUUUUGGAGAUCAACUCCGUAGGACCUAGGUGGUAUACCAUGUCGACGACCGAUGAUCUCAUUAACGCGAAACAUUUUAUUACGUUGUGAAUAUACUUUUACAUUUAUCGACUUCACCAUUCUAUAGUUUGCAACCAUUGCAUCAUUGACAUCUUUGACAAACACGUGUCUUGCCUCCAUCUGGUUGAGUUGUUGCUGACCCAUUCUUGGCAUCAAGGUAGCCAACCUGUAGAAUGUAGCUGAGAAGACAGAUGAAAUAAGAAAAUGUCGCGUUUUCAAUAACACAACAUUGAUCCCCUCCACCAAGUUUGUGGUCAUUUAACCGUAACGAAAGUCCUUGUCAAAACUUUAAGGCUAUUGCCACGGCUCCACGGUACCCAACCAUUGUCAGAAAGAUGUGUUCGUCUGACCUUCCAUGUCACUCUCAAGUCGAGUCAUCCUCUACCGAAAAAUGUGUGGUUCUUGCUCAUACGCUGUGUAUGUAUUAAGAAAAUAUAAGUUAUAGUCUCGCCAAAAAAAUUUAGGUUAUAUAUUGAAAGGAUAAGGUUAUUCUUUACCCAUUUUAACAACUUGUCUCUUCCAGUCUGCAUUCUUAUAAUCACAAUGAAAAUUAGCCGCGAUGUGCCGUAUGCAGUAAACGGAUCUUCAUGGCACACCGGAAAGUCUAAUGGCAGCAAUUAAUCAUUUCUCUCUAUCGGAGAUAAUGCAAAUAUUAUCAUUACUAAUAACAUACCUCUACAGAUUUGUAAGAAAGAAUUCCCAAGACUUCAUGUUCUUCUUAUCUAUGAUAGAAAAUGCAAUCGGGAGCACGUUCCUGUUCCCGUAUUGAGCAAUCAUAAUAAGUAAGAUCUAUGUAUAUUUACCGUAUAGCCAUGUCUCAUCUACUUCCACAAACGGCUUGCAGUGGGGAAAUGCACACACACAUUGAUCAAACGUUUAGAACAUCCGUCGGAAAAUUCUUUUUCUUGAUUGUAUUUGCUCAUCCGGACCGUAAUAAGGUCGCGUCUGCAACUUAAUGACAGUCCCAGGUACGUACUCCAUCAUAGUGGCAAUCCAUCCUUGCAACUCAUUGUACGAUGAAUCAAAAUCUUCGUACAAUUGCUUUAUUGCCAUCUGUUUAGCUAUCCAUACCUUUUGGUAUGAUACUAGAUACUGGAAUCGUGCCUGCAUUUCGGCAAUCAGUACCAAAACUCUAAUGUUGACAUGUCUUCAACUAUUGGCAUGAUGCACGUAUAAAUAGUUUUAGAAUCAAGUUUUCGAUGAUCUUCUAUCAUACGUGUUGAAGUACAUAUGCGAGGCCCAAUAAAUUUUUGUAUCUCCCACAUCUGAGACUUCUAGAUAAGUGCAGCUCGUAUCUGCCAAUUUUAGCCUUCCGCCGACCUCUAACACUCUCCAAUAUAUAGUGUCAAUUUAGACUCGAUGACUUUGUAGUCUAUUGAUAUAUUUAUAUUAUACCACUCAAUGGCAAAUACGCACUUUUCCUUACUUUCGAAUCUCUGGUCCAUGAACAACUCCUAAGAAUCAGAAUAUACAGCCAUCCGUUGAGUAAGUAGUAUUUCAGGGUACUCUAAGAACUCAGCUGCAUGUGCCGCAUCGGGGUCUAUCCGAGACAUGUGUGCCCCAGGAUUAUUGUGUAUCACAAUACGACGAAUCUAGUUCCCGAUUAAAGACGCAUUAAUGUUUCCAUCCUCGUUCACACCUUCAUCGUCAAUAUCAUUCGCGACCUCGUCCACGUCGGAAUCACUAUCAAUAUCAACUUUAUGAUCAGAAGGAUCACUACUAUGGUAUAUAUCAUCACCAACCACAUCAGUCUCGGGUGCAACAUUAAGAUCAAUAUCGAUCCCAUUUAUAGUUGAUUUACUAUUAACGUAUGAUAUCAGAACCACCAUACACGGUUCUUGAUGUCCAUCUUCUUCACCUAAGAGUUGGAUCUUCAGUUGCCUCCACACCAGCUAACUCAGCAAAUAACUGAAUCGGUGCAUUUUGGUUGCUCUGAGUCCCACAAUAAAGAGCGACCAUUGUCUCCACGUCUUCAUCGUCUACAAGUUCCAUUUCAGUGAAUUUUAUGGGAUCCGUCAAAAUUGGAAACUUGUAGAAAAGUUUUGAGAUCCUUUUUCCACAACGUUUAUAAAUUUUUCACUAAUUUUUUCCUUCAUAUCAUCAAACGAUAUAUUUCUAUUAAAUCUCAUUGCUACUUGUUUGCGACAUUCAAAUAUAUAUCCCACGUUUGUUGUCAAAAUUUCUCAAUCGAAAUAAACGCAUACGAAAAAUUGAUUCUCCAUAUUCAAUACUAGAUCUGUUAAAAAAUUUUCAAAAUUCUCAAAAUAGUUUCAAAUAACAAAAAAGUUACAUAAAAUUUUUUAUGCAAAAUUUUUCAUUAAGAAGCUAACAAAAUUAUUAAUCUAACAAAAUAACUUUAAAUAAUAAAAUUUAUAACAAAAUUCUACAUUCUAUUUAAAAAUAAAUAAACUAAAGUACCUUAUCCUUCUUCUUGUUUUCCUUUCUUUCCUUCUUCUCCCUCUCUUCUUACUUCUGCUAAAUUUUGUGUCUAUUAAUUUUCUGUAUGUUGCUCAUGAUUUUCGGGAGAAUAUAUAGGGGAAAAUUUAAGUCGUCCUACCAAGAAGGCUCAACUAGUUGUGCCUUCUUGAUAGGUGCAACUCGUAUGCAUACCACUCCCAUACAUAUACACAGGUUCUAUGCUGAUCCGAAAAAAUAUAUUAAAAUAAUAAUAUUUUGUUAAACGAAAUAAAUUAAUAUUAAAAUAUUGGGUUGCAUCUGUCAAAUAGGCACGACCUGAAAAAGUAAUCCAUUUUCGUAAUUAAUCUAGCUGACAACCUAUUUUCGUAUUUAAUUUUUUUAUAAUAUUAAGGUUCUUUUUUUUUCUUUUUCUUUUUAUGUUGAAUGCUCUUAUUUUUUAUUUUAUUUUAUUGUUUUCUCUUCUUCUCCUUAAUUGAAAACUCUAGCUGACAUACACAAUAGCCACCGAUUUCGGUGUUUAUCGUGGCCUUUUAUGCUGAUUUCGACACUAAAGAAGAGAUUUUCUCCUUCUCGUUGACUUCUACCAUACAGAUCUCCCAGUAGCCGGCUUUAAAUAUUCUAAAAUAAUGACCAAAGCUUCGAACUACUCUUUCAUCAAUCUCCAUUUUGCACUGUCAAAUCUUCAGCAGUCGGAGAUAUGUUGUUCCCCAUAGUUAAACACACCACCUCACCAUUCAGAUCAUCAAAUGAAGUCACGAAGCUUUGAACCCAAACAGAGUCAGGGGCUUCCACCACUAAUACCCUAUUUUUUUGUUUUCUUUUUUUUUUUCAUUUCAGACCACUUUUUUUUAAAUAUAUCGAUGUCGAUUGACACACCGAUAAAUAUUAUUUAAUUACAUAAUAACUCGAAUUGUGUAUUUCAUAUUCAAGUUAAACUAAAAAUUUUAAUUUUUUAUUUGAGCUUAUCUGAAUAAUUCAAAUAACUCUAAUUAUUUAAUUCAAAAUUUAAUUUUUUAUUGAAAUUUUAAUCGAUUCAAAUUUUACUCAUCCCUAUAUUAUAAUAUAAAAAAUAAACUCUUAUAUUCCCCAGGGCUUCAAAUGAAGUUGGGCAAAACUAUAUGGGGCAUCAAUAAAGGUCGUUUUUCUAAAUUAUUUAUGGAAAUGGGUUGCUUUUAAAAAUAAUUGCAGGUAUGGAUUGAAAACCCAAAAACUCGUUGACGAAGACAAGUUUUUCCUCGUGUCAAGCAAAAGCGUACUAAUGUGGGUACAAUUUUUAAGAAAUUUACAAUAAUAAGUCCAUAUAAAUACCCAAAGUGGCAAUACCAAUUUUUUUUUGUGUGCUCCAUCAAUUAAUAUGAAAAUAAAACUUACAAAACAGAUUUUUAUGUAGACCCAAAAUCUCAUUUUCCUUGUUUUCUUAAACAAUGUGGGAUGUAAGAUAUGUGUUUAUAUAGAUUCAUGAAUAAGUUUACAGCUCGUUCCUAGACAAUGUGAGAUUCCUUCUUCUUCUUUUUUAACUAACAACAUAAUGCUACACUAUAUUUUAUUUUUUUUACAAAACAAUUUCAAUUUAGAAGUUAUACAUAAAAUAUAAUAAUUAUUUUUCAUAUUUUUAGAUCUAGAUUAAAUUACAUUAGUACUCACUUAACUAUGAUUUUUUUACCAUUGAAUUAUAAAAACUUACAAAAUGAUCACUCAAAUAUUAGUUUUUCUUUUUUUUUUUUGGUCACCCAAUUAUCUUGAAUUUUGAGGUAUGUAGCAAGAAGAAGAAGAAGAAGAAGAAGACAAAUUUGAAUAAUUGAAUGACAAUUUUGUAAUUUUUCAUAAACAGAUCAUUCAAAAAAACAUACUUAAAUGACUAUUUUAUAACAUUUUAUAAUUAAGUAAUAAAAAUAAUUUUAAAUAUUUAUUAUACUCAUUAAUUUUUUUAAUCCUAAAAAACUUUUAAAAAGAGAUAUCAAUUUUUUAAAAUUACAAAAAGAAUAUACUAUCUGAGUACUAAACAAUUCUAAAAUGCAACAAGAUUAAAAUCUCAAAAGAUUAUUUUACAAUAUGAGAAAAUGUUAACAAAAUAUUAAAAAAUAGAAAUUAUUUUGUAAAAAAAAGUAAAAUAUAAUGUAGUAUUUAAUCUUAUAUUGUUAAUUAAAACAUGAUGGAAUCCCGCAUUUAUAGGAACAACCUGCAAACAUAUUCAUGAGUUUAUAUAUACGUAUACUUCACAUCCCACAUUGUUUUAAAAAAAAAACUGAGACUUUGGGUUUAUAUAAAAAUAUGUUCUGUAAGUUUUAUUUUUCAUAUUAAUUAGUAGCACUAAAAAAUUUAAAAGUAAGUAUUGACACUUUGAGUCUCGUAAAAUUAAAAAAAAAAUAGUUUAUUUUUAUAUAUUUUGAAAAAUGACCUUUAUUAAAAAUUUAACUUAAAACACGUCUAUUAAUGUAUUUUUAAAUUUUUGGUCCAUACUAAAAACUAUUUUUAGGGUGGUCUAUUUCCAUCAAUAAUUUUAGAAAUUCAGCAUCGUAAUAUGCGCUACUAUCUAAGUGGAAGGUGACGCGAGCGUGCACUACAAUGGAUGGGUGGACCAACUCUGCGCCCUGUCUUCAGGUCCUUAACACUGUGCAAUUUAAAAAAUUGAGAUAAUGAUUUUUUCUUUUUCUUUAUAUUUUUAUUUUAGUAUUUAUUUAUAUAUUAAAAAGGGUAAUUUUUAAAAACAGUCACAUUUGUUUGUCUCAGAUUACAUUUUAGUCACUUAUGUUACUAUUUUGUUACAAAGUGAUCACUUUACUGUUCAAUUCCGUUAUCUCUCUAACGGUGAUCCUACGUGACAGUCCAACUAGAUUUUAGAUGCCAAGUUGGAUUCCUAAAUGGGAUGAAAAUAGAUUUUAGAUGUCAACUAUUUUAUUUGACUAGAAAAAUUAUUAUUAAGAUCAAAAUAGUUGAAAUCAAAUUGACUGCUUCAUAAAGAUAGAUACAAUGGAGGGUUCGGGUAUGCCUUCUUUGCAUUCCUCUAUCUCUUUUAUUCAAUACUGAAAAACAAAAGAUUAGAUUUUUUAUUAUUUAAUGGAAACCCUAAAUUAAAAUUCUUGAUAUGAAUAUUAACAACUAAAAGAAUUUCAGAUAAGAAAAAAGAGAUACCCACAAAGGGAUUGUGAACAAACAAGCCGAUUCAAAUCAGAAAAAAUCAGAUUGAGAAACCAGUUAUUCAAGAACGUGAAGAAUUGGAAAAUACAAUGAUUAGGAACGAAAAUGAUUACCAUCUUCUUAUUUGUCGACAACCACUUCAUUUUAAGUCUUAGAAUAUAAAUUUGUCAGUGAAGAAGACAUACCUAGACCCUCUAUUGAAUCCUCUUUUGUUUUUGUACCUGAAUAAAAAAAUUUGAUGAUAAUAGCUUUUUUAGUCAAUUGAAAAAGAAAACUAAAAAAAUGGAGGAGAUGAACAGUUUUUUAACUAAGAUUUAAGGUUUAAAUUUCUUUAAUUAAUUAAAUUUAUUUAAUAAAAAAUCUAUUCUUAUCCCAUUACGAAAUUCAAGUUGGCACUUAAAAUCUAGUUGGAUUGCCACGUAGGAUUACCAUUAGGGAGAUAACGAAACUUAACAGAAGAGUGAUCACUUCAUAACAAAAUAAUAACAUAAGUGACUAAAACGUAACAUUUCAAACAUAAGUGACUAAAAUGUAACUUGAGCAAAGAAAAGUGACUAUUUUUGUAGUUUACCCUAUUAAAAAUUAUCAUCCCAUCCCAUUGCCUCAUUAAAGAAAAAGAAAGAGUGGCAGCCUACUUACAAAGACAUCAUAGUAUUUGCACUCAUUAGCCUGUCCCUCAUGGAAUCCCAAAGUAGAGAUGUGCUUCAAAAAUCUUUCAAAGAGAUGUUUGGGUUUUCCUGAAGAUCAGUAUCAAUAUCAAGGUUUUUGGUUCGCUUCGCCUUUUCUACAAGGAGCGUUGUAGGCUCAACAACAAUUUCAGGCUCAACCCACUGAUAUCAUCCUUUGUAGCUCUCCAAGAACAGGCACAGCCUGGUUAAAAUCCCUCACUUUCGCCACAAUUACAAGAACUUCAUACAAUGAUUCCACCACCCCUUUACUUUCCAAGAUGCCUCAUGAUGUUGUGCCUUUCAUGGAGUUUGAUCAUGCCCAGUUUUCCACUAAUCGACAUCUUGGAAUUCCUUUUUUAGCCACUCAUCUUCCUUAUUCCUUAUUACCCAGAUCUAUAAUUGAUUCUGGUUGUAAACUUCUUUACAUUUGCAAGGACCCCAAAGAUACAUUUGUUUCAUGGUAUCAUUUCUUUGCAGGGUACUGCAAAUCCCAAAAUACUCAACCUAUUCAACUUGAUGAAGCAUUCCGAGUUAUUUUAUGAAGGUGUAAGUCUGUAUGGGCCUUAUUGGGACCAUGUUUUGGGGUAUUGGAAAGCAAGUUUGGAACAUCUAGACAAGUUAGUGCUCUUGAAAUAUGAAGAACUGGUUGAAGAUAUUGUUUUGUAUCUUAAGAAAACAGCAAAGUUUAUGGGUUAUCCUUUCUCGCCAGAGGAACAACAACAAGGGGUGC
rnacentral:lncRNA from 1 species